CGGAAUUCGUCAUCAUGACGUUUAUCAUAUGUGAAAUGAGCGUUCAUGCAUAAAAGUAAUCAUGCUUUAAGUAUUCUUGUUUAGUUCAGUAGAACAAUCGGGAGAUCAGUUUAUUAUAUUUCUAUGAUAUAGAGAACAUAUAUACAUGAAAGUAUUUCUAUUCAUAUUCAAUAUAGUUGAAUGGCUUAUGAACAAGUGUAGGAUGCACUUUAAAGUAAAGAACAAUGACAUUCUCCUGACUUUAAUAUAGAGAACUAUGACAUGCUCAUGACUCUGUUGAUAGUGCUAUACUAGUGGAAAGAUUAUAAUGCUAUGUGAUUUAGCUUUACCCUUAUAUGUUUACAAUCUAGUGGAUACUAGCUUUUGUUACUAUUUGUGUAUUGACAUUCCGAUCAGAGGAUCGAGGGUUCUGAACUUUGCAUGUGAAAGUAUAAAAAUUGAGACAUGUGGAUAGUGGACUUUGCUUGCUUGCCAUCGUGCUCAUUCGCACACGCUUGUGAGGGUAGCUCCCUACAGGCCGGCACUCCGGAGUUGGCCUACGCGACAGUUGCUCGCCCGUGCGGGAUUGGGUGCGGAAGUGGAUUGCCGUGGGGAGUGUAUACUACCACGGGGCCAUUAGGCGCGGCGCAAGCGGGACUACCUUGAGUAGAUCCCUGUGAAUGGAUGAAAAGUGCUAAAGGAAAUUGGACAGUAAUGAAUGAUUACCAGUUACAGUGUACAGUAGUUACUUACACAUUUACGCUAUGUUCAUGCUUAUAGUAGUUGCUAUCCUUCUAUUAAUCAGUAGAUUCAUUACUGUUGAGACUAUGAUUACAUGUUGCUUACAUGUUCAUUAAUUGUUAGCAUUGAAAAUAUAUCAUGCAAAUUACUGCUUUUAUUUCCAUUUAGUACAUCAUGAGCCUAGUGGUGUAAUUCGCCGAGGCUGGCGGCUUACCCACUGGGAACUAUUGUUAAUAGUUCUCACGCCCUUUUGGUGGUUGUUUUUACAGAGCCUGUUACAGGAGAGGCUAGGGAUCGUGGCAAGGGAGUCGCGCCUAGCUAGGGACUACUAGGAGCAUGCUAGUCGAUCACCUUGUUACUCGGGCUACGGCCGAGGGUGAUGUCCUUUUGUAUAGAAAGGCUACCAUUGUACCUAUUUUUGUAUACCCAGUAUUGUAUAUCUCCUGUUUGGAUCUGAUGUUUUAGUUGUGAUACUUAUCUUUUGGUUGAGCUUUUGGAUUGUACACUCUUGCCCUUUUGUUGAUAGUAUUUUGACUUGUACUUUGCUCUGAUAUCAGGAUAGGACUUUCUUUGUUUUACUUCCUAUCGACUUGUGUUCUUGUAGACGCCUUAUAUACUGCAGGUGUAUGGCGGGUCUGUGCACGUGCCGGAUAUGCUUCCGCUGGUACCCGGGCGUGACACAUUACUUAGCAUUUUAUGCAUUCGUUAACAUUUACUACAUGCAUUCUCAGUUAAUAUAAAUCUCAUACUUACGUUUGAAAUCUGUUUAGCAUUUCUAUAAUAUACUCAUGUAAAUUAACAUCAACUCAUGCAUUUACUUGACAUCUAUCUUUAUCAUGCAUUCUUAAAUAGCAUACUUUAUCAUGCAUUCUCAAAUAGCAUACUUUAUCAUGCAUCAAUAGUAAACAUACUACACUUUGGCACGGAAAGCGACCUAAUCGCUUCGGUGAGCACAACCCACCUCAAAACGCUUUCCGAUUGCUUGUCGACACUUGCAAUCGGCCUCCCGCGGCACCCGUAACCCGGUUUGGCCCGAUCUUCUGCGCGACCACCCGAACGGCCUCCGAUCCACGAUCUGAAAAUUAAAGGUCUUCGGUUAUGUGCCACGGUGCUUCAAAUCUAUUUCCAUGAUUUUACGACGUCGCCUCGGCCCUCCAAGCGGUAACGAAGCCUAAACGUCCGUUUCUUUAAUAACUUUGUAACGGCUCGUCGGAUUGCCGAACCGUCUUCGCCAACGCGUUUCGUUACCUAGCAAUUAGGUUUACGGAGGGUCAAAUUAGAUCAAACCCUCAUAUUUUUAAAAUUAGCAUUUUUGAGCCCUAACAUGAAUUAACCUCCAAAUAAUCCCAAUUAAAUGGAACAACAUACUAUCAAUACUCAUUAGAGGCUAUUAGUGCACUUAAAGCUAAGGAUUAAACCAAAUCCCAAAAGCUUACCCCAAUGUGAACGCCGCAACGACAACACGCAGCUCCAACGGGCGCACGAAAGCUCGAUCCGUCGCCUCCAACGCGUUCGCAGACUCGAUCUCCACCAACCCUCCAAUUUUUAGAGAGAGAUAUAGAGAGAUGAGAGAGAUAUUUAGAGAGAGAAAUGAAGGUCUCUCUCUCUCUCCCUCCAUGCGUGCGUGAGAGGUGUGUCGGCCAUGGUGGUCGGCUGAUGGAGGAGAAGAAGCUGAUGCUUCUAAUUAAAGUCAACACCAAACACUAUUCACUCCAGGCAACUUAAAAUCUGAUAUCUUUCGCCGGAGCUCUCUGAAUGUCCGUUUGAGCUCAAACUUGACAGUCAUUUUUGGUUUUACGUACUGAGUAAGAAUAUAUCUUACGUUUUCAGUUUCGACCCCGUUUGGUCACCGAAAACUGUACCGAACUGUAAUUUUUAUCAGAUAGCUUUCGGAUUUUAUUUCUCACCUUUCGGGUGUCAGAAAAAUAUGAAACUUUAAAUCUAGCCUCAUAAAAAUAUUUCUGACUUAUCCUCCAAUUUUCAUAAUUUUCUGAGACUGUGCAUUUUCUGCUAAUUUAUCUGUCCCGUUUCCAACAGAAAAUUCUAGAUCUUCUGUUUUCAUCCCGAUUUCAGCACAAGUCAAUUCUGACUUAUGUUUUACUUCUCUAAAUUCAAUAAAAAUAGUAUUCCACACUAUUUUUAUUUAUUUUUAUUUUUUUACCAAAAUCUGGUAUAUUACAUGGGGAGCUCCCCACACAAGCACGUGCGAAUGAGCACAAAUGACAAGUAUAGUUAUCGUCUCAAAGACCCAGUAAUCAUGUCUCCAACAUGGUAAUAUUUACUAGCAAGCCAAAGGUCUACUUUUAUGUCACAAUGUGAACUUUUAGCCAUUCACUAAGUCCAAUGUCACUUUAUGACAUUAGGUUUACUAAAUCCAAACAUAUUCCAAGUUCAAUGCCCCUUUAUGACAUUAUGUUUCCUUCUAUGUUUUAGCAUAUAUCCAUUGUUUAAAAGCAAAUAAGUACUCGUCAUUUAGCUACAUACAACAUGAUUCCAACCACAUCAUAAGAAUAUCAUACACUAGCAUGAGUACUAUGCAUAUAUUCCUCUACUACAUAGAGGCGAAAUUUCAUGAGACAUAACAUAUGCAUUUUAAGUAUUCUAAAAUUUACAAAUAUUUUAUCUAGCAUGAAUAUGCAUGAAUUUCUAUUUUACAACAAGAAAUAGAACAUAGGGGGAGUUCACCCAUUUCGGUGAGGUCAAACCCACUAAGAACUCCUUGCAACCCUUUCGUUUGCGCGAACGAAGGUGCCCACAAGUCUCUCCUAACUCUCUAGAGAAAAUUCUAAGAGGGUUAGACGAAACGAACGAACACCCAAAGUGUUCAUCUUUAACCAACUCAAGAAAAGGGUUAAAACUCACCUAACUGUUGAAAAAACUCUCUCAAAUCCCAAAUGGAAGGUAGAGCCCUUCCAAUCCAACCUAAAUGAAGGUUCUAACCAAUCAAUUGAGCUUCAAAAGCUACAAAUAAAAAAUCCUCAAAUAAACUCUAGAUUUCACAUUUUUAGGUUUUUAUCUCAAAAAUCACAAGAAUCAUAAUCUAAAGGAGAGAAGUAAGCAACUAACCUCUCUAAAAGCUCUAAACCAAGCUAGAAGUGAGCUAGGGUUAGAAAUCUCUCUUGCAACAAGCUCCACUCUAAGCUCCAAAGCUUAUCCCAAGGUGGAAAUGUCACCAAGAUGCCAAAAGAAGCAAAAGAGGUGAUUAAUCCUCAAAAAUCCCAACAAAAAUGGAAAGAAGACAAAUGAGAGGACCUACCUUCUCUCCUCAGGUUCCAAGCUUAGGGAACCAACAAAGAGGCGUGGGGUAUAUGUAGUGUUGCUACAAUUUCAAAAACCCCCCUAAAAAACCAGCAGAUUGCAGUCUGCACUACGUAUCGGUACCACGGGCUGGCACACCGGUACUAGGCAGCAGAGCUCGUCAACUCGAGCCUCGAGUUGGCCAACAGACACACUGGGUACCGGUACCAAGUCGAUGCAGCACCGGUAUCCUACUGCGCAGAGUCCAACCUGAGAGCAGCCCAAUCUCUUCAUUUUCGAGAUUUUGGUGCUAAGUUUUCACCCUCGCUUCUAGGGAUGCGAGUCAUAGGUCAGAACAUUGUCUACGACCCUCUAGAAUACUUGGAAAAACUCAGAACACAAAUCAAACACUCAAACCUUGCAGUUUGCUAAAGUUCAGUGUGUUACAUUCUUAGUCCAUCUAAUUCUAAACUCAUUACCGUCUGAGUUUGACCCUUUUAAGAUCUCUAUAACACACAUAAGGAUUAAUGGUCAAUUGAUAAAUUAUUGACCAUGUGUGUUCAAGAAGAUGAGAGAUUUAAGCAGGAGAAGCCGGAAACUAUAACAGAAUCUGUUAAUCUGGCGGUUCAGCGCAAAAAGGGAAAUAGCAAAGGUGUCUCUAAUUACAAGAAAUCAGCUCAAUUGCCAAUAAAGAAUUCUGGCAAGAAAGAUCAAUGCUACUUUUGUAAAAAGAAAGGGCACAUGAAAAGGGACUGUUUGAAGUAUAAACCUUGGCUCGAAAAGAAAGGCAUUGAAAUUAUCUAUAUUUGUUAUGAAUCUCAUUUAGUUGAUGUUCCUAAAAACACAUCGUGGAUUGACUCUGCAACUACUGUACAUAUCUCAAAUACCAUACAGGGUUUUCACAACCUAACGAUAUUGAAGCCAAAUGAAAGGAUUUUAAUUAGAGGAGAAGAAAAUAAAUCUCAAGUUGAAGCUGUAGGAAAGUUCAUUUUAGAACUUAGUGCUAGUUUUGUACUUGAACUUGAAGAUACUUUUUAUGUUCCUAAAUUUUCUAGAAAUUUAAUUUCUGUUUCUAAAUUUAAAAAUAAAGGCUUCAAAUUUUUAUUUGAAAAUGAAUAUUUUACUAUGUUCUCCGAUAAUAUUAUUAUUGGCAAUGGUUGUUUGGUAGAUGAUUUGUACAAAUUUAAUUUGAGUCAAUUUUUUGAAAAUAAUUUUAAUGUUGAUCAUGACAUUGGUGUUAAAGGGAACAUUAUUAAAGAAAACUCCUCUUAUUUAUGGCACAAACGUUUAGCUCAUAUAUCUAAAGAGAUUGGUAAAAGAAAAGAUCUUACAAGAUCUCAACUUUACCGAUUUUGGUACUUGUGUGGAAUGCAUAGAGGAAAAGCAUAGUAACACAAAUACCACUAAAGGUGCCAGAAGGAAUUCUGAAAUUCUUGAGAUCAUACAUACAGAUAUCUGUGGACCUUUUCCUAUUCCUUGUUUCAAUGGUCAGAGAUAUUUUAUCUCAUUUAUUGAUGACCAUUCAAGAUAUAUGUAUCUCUAUCUCUAAUUUAAAAAAGCUGAGGCUCUCGAUACUUUUAAAGCUUAUAAGGUUGAGGUAGAGAAACAAUUAGAUAGGAAAAUUAAGAUUGUAAGGUCCGACAGAGAGGGUGAGUAUUAAGGAAGACAUACGGAUAAAGGUCAAAUGGUCGGUCCAUUUGCUCAAUUCCUCGAAGGUGAAGGCAUCAUUGCUCAGUAUACGAUGCCUGGCACGCCCUAACAAAAUGGCGUUGCCGAAAGGAGGAAUAGAACACUCAUAGACAUGGUAAAGAGCAUGAUUAGCAGCUCUUGUCUUCCAUCUUCUCUUUGGAGUGAAGCACUAAAGACAGUGGUGUAUGUUUUAAAUAGGAUUCCAUCGAAGGCCAUUUCUAAAACUUCUUUUGAGUUGUGGAAAGUAUCAUGCCCCGAGACCCGCCAAUUUGGUCAGAUUCGAGCGCGCCGACACACCGCCGAACGGCCAGAGUUUUCCCUACACGUCCAAGGCGUCAAAAUCGAUACAAUUCGCGAGGUUCCAACUAGGAACAACAUUCAUACACAGAUUGCAUAAGGAAGGUUUCGAAAACAUAAAUACUAAGCUAUUACAAGCAUUCGUCUCAAUUUUUACAUUUAUAUUACAUUCAACUUCCAAAUACAAUCAAUUUACUACAACUUAUUUCUUUCUUUUCUACACCCCUAGUUAGGUCGACUUGAGGUACUGCUACCUCUGGUCACGGUAGUAGGUCGCUAUCUACGGAGCUACGCCCUUUCCUCGCACCGCCGCGCUAUCGCGUGUGGACUUGAAAACCCCGAAAAACGUAGGAUGAGAACUAUUGUCCAUAGUUCCCGGUAGGUACGGCCACCCAAGGGAAGAGCUUGCACCAGGUCCAAAGGAGGCACUACAAACAUGUUAACUCAAUAGAUAUCAACAAAUAACUUAUGCAAGUAUUAAAUACAUGCGUGUACCUCACAACAUACAAUAUGCAAUUCAUGCAAGUAGAUCUACUGAUUCUACUUUCUAUCUCGCUAUCUACAGCUCAUGCAACUAGCUUCUAAGGUUUCCUCUACCUUAGAUCUAUAUCAUAUAGCAUUCUAUAUCAGUGGUCAUUCUCUAUCACUUGCCACUUUCACCUAAGAUUUUCUUUACCUUAGCCAACUAUGCCACUCGACUCGAUCUUGAGUCAAUCAUCACGGAGAACCGCGCUCAGUAAGGCUCGAGGUGAAGGACGCCUCACAUGCACCUCAGCCUUAAAUCCUUUCGACUAUAGGUCUACCACAGGGUGAAGAGAACAGUCGAUCCCGGACCACCAGUCACUCAAACUCAACGGGCGAGGAGAACCAACUUACUCAUUUCCACAAAGCUCAUACCGGGCGAGGAGAACCAACAUACCCGUUGAAUCAUUGCCGGGCGAGGAGAACCAACAUACCCGCAGUUAUGAUUCACUUGCGCUCAGUCGCAAGUCGCAGCCGCUGCACUCGCAGCCUCAAUUCCUAGGGAUUCCGGAAUCCACUUUCCAUAUCUCAAGGGUUAGCCUCAUACCCUAUAAUGUCGACCUCUCUAGGUUUGACUCAUACACAUCCUAGUGGCCCUUCUACCACUAUAGUUCACAACCUAGGUUCAACCAUGCUAGGUGUCACUACAUGUCAUAACCUAGGUUCAACCACGCUAGGUUUUACGUCAUUUCCACCUAGAUUUCGACUCUAGGUUCACUGUUCAACCUAUGUUCAAUGACACUAGGUUCAAUGCCACUCAAUGUACUUGUUAUCAUAGUUGUGCACUCCUAGGAUUCGUUGUUUACAUGUUCUUGUUUUCCAAUUAUCGAGUUCUCUAAUCAACCUAGAGUUAUCGACCCAAGUUCACAUUCAUAUGAAUCUAGCAUAUUCUCAUAAUAUGUCGACAAGUAUAUGUCCUCUAACAUCUCAUGCACAUGCCGAUAUCUUUAUCGUCAUCCAAUGGUAGGUAACAUCAUCUAGUAUAAUAUGAUUCAUGCAUUCGUAUUAUCAUAUACAACCUACCAUAAUAUACAUGUAUUGACAAUAAACCAUACUUCACUUUGGCAUGGAAGUGGCCUAAUCACUUCGGUGAAGCACAACCUACCUCGUAUCGACGUCAAGAAGCGAGAAACCAAGUCCCGCAAUUUACCGUUGCCGUUUUAGCUCAACCCAAGCCUAACGAACCAAAUUCCGCAAAUCUCUCAAUCGGACACCGUAAUCUCGUCGUAAUCCAAAACGAAGUUGUCCUCCGCAUCGAAUUAUCCUUCAAUUAAGGUUUUACAAGAUUAAUUUGAUUCAAAACCUUUUAGAGACGAGCCCCAUUUUCUAAGCCUAGGGUUCAAGUUCUACGAGAAUACUCCAAAUUUCAUGAUUACAUCUUAACCAAUCUAGUUUAGAAUCAUCUAGAGGUCCUAAGUACCUCAUUACCAAAGAUUUAAUCCAAACCCUAGCUUAAAUCACAAAACUCACUAUGGCCACCUUGGGAAAGAAGCUUGAUCCAUCAUUGGAGAGCUUGCUUCACCACCAAGCUUCUUCUCGAAGCUAUUUCUAAGCUUAAUCUCCAAUCUUUCCUCCAAAUAAUUCUUUUUGGUGGAGAGCUUACAAAAGAGGGAGAGAGAGAUGUGAGCUUGGAGACAGAGAGAAAGAGAGAAAGAGAGAAGACUUGCUUUCUCUCUCUCUCUCGGGUUGGACCAGGACAAAGGGGAGAAGGCAAUUGUUACACACAUAGGCCCCCUAACAAUUGUAACUUACAAAGGCAAUUGUUACACACAUAGGCCCCCCAACAAUUGUAACUUACAAUUUAGUCUAGUUCAGAAUCUGAUACUUUUUGUCGUAGCCCUUCUGAAUGUCUGUUUGCUCUCAAAUUUGACAGUCAGGCUCGGUUAAAAUUAAUAAGAAGAACGAGAUCUUAAUCUUUCAGUUUGGACCAUUUUUGGUGUAACACACUGAACUUUAGUUAAUUGCGAGGUUCGAGUGUUUGAUUUAUGAAUUGAGCAUUUUUGGGUUUUCUAUAUGGUCGUCGACUGUGUUCCGAGCUAUGAUUCGCGUCCCGAGGAGUGAGGAUGAAAAUCUAGCACCAAAAAGUCUAAAAAGAAGGAUUUGGGCUCCUCCCGGGUUGACUCUGCAGGGCAGAGUACCGGUACUACAUCGGCUUGGUACCGGUACUAGACCUUGUACCGGUACUGCACCGCGAUAGUACCGAUACGCAGUGUAUUUUCUCGCUUACCCGAGGCUUGGGUUUGCGCGAGCUGCUGCCUCGUACCGGUACUGUUGCCCUGCGUGCAGUCUACAUGUUUUUGAGGGUUCUCCUUGUAAUUGUUGCAACACUUUAUAUACCCCACACCCUUUGGUUGGGGUCUCUUGUGCUGCAACCAGAGAGGAGAAGAGGUCUUCCAUUUUACUUGGAUUUUUUCCUCUCUUUUUCUUUGGAUUUGAGGUUUGAUCUCUCCACUUGCUUCCUUUUUGCAUCUUGGUGACCUUUCCACCAUUGGUGAAGCUUUGGAGCUUGGAUUGGAGCCUUUUGGAGGAAAGAUGUAACACACUGGACCUUUGCAAAUUGCGAGGUUCGAGUGUUUGGACUGUGUCCUGAGCUUUUCCAGAUUUUCUGGUGGGUCGUUGACAGUGUUCCGACCUAUGGUUCGAAUCCCGAGAAUUGUAGUAUUUUAUGUAGCGCUAAGGUCACUAAAGAGUUGGACUUAGCCUACCCUCGGAUUGCAUUCUGCACGAGGUGUAACCGGUGACAGGUCGAUGGCUGUACCGGUACACAUUUUGUACCGGUACACUUCUGAUGGUUGUACCGGUACACUUGCGGCGAAUUUCGAACCCGAGCCUCGGGUUUGCAUUUUCGUAGGAUGUGUACCGGUACACUUUCCCGUGUACCGGUACACUUUGGCAGUUUUCGAACAGUUCGAACUGCAGGGGUGUUUUUGCAUUGUUGCACCUCUAUAUGAUACCCCACGCCUCCCCUUUGGUUUCCUGAGCCCAGAACUCAGAGGAAACAGGUGAGAGAGCUCCUCCUUGCCUCAUUUUGGAUUUCAUCUUCCUUUUUCUUGGUUUUUAGGUGGUUUUUGCUCUCUUUUGCCUUUUAGAGCAUUUCCCACCAUUGUUGGAGGCUUGGAUCUUGGAGAGGAGCUCAUUGGAGAGGAGAACUUCAACCCUAGUUGGUUUGGGGCCUUGUUGGGAGCUUCUUAAGAGGUUAGAUGCUUGUUCUCUCCUCUUGAUUUGUAUUUUGAUGGUGGAUUUGAGUUGAAACCCUAGAAUGUGAGUUUAGGGUUGAUUUUGGGCAUUUUGAUUCUUGGGCCUUUUGAGCUAAAUUGAUUGGAUUAGAACCUUUAUCUAGGUUGCAUUGGAAGGGAUCUAGCUUCCAUUUGGAGCUUAAAAGGGAUUUUCUACACUUAGGUGAGAUUUUAGCCCUUUUUGCCUUGAUGGUUAAUGUUUGAGUUUCGGGUUGUUCGUUUCGUUUGGGUAACCCUCGUUUUGAUGCUUCUAGGGUACUAGGAGUCUUGUGGGCACCUCCGUUCAGCGAAACGAAGGUUUCGAUUUUGGUGGGUUUGGCCUCACCUAGAUGAGAUAAACUUCUCAUAUGAGGUUUUUAUUUAUCGUAAAGUGAAAACGCAUGCAUAUUCUUAUUGGAUAGAAUAUUUGAGAAUUUUAGAAUGCUUAAAUUGCACAUGUCAUAUACCAUGCAUAUUUGACCUCUAUAUAGUAGAGAGUCUUCAUGUUGGGCUAGGGGCCUAUGGUUAGCAUUCUUACAUUGAUUGAGAUCAUGUUGCAUAUGGUACAUAUGGCAUAUAGAUUACACUCUUGGACUUAGAACGUAUGAUUGACGUGGUUGGACAUAUCGACAUUAAGUGACAUAGGCUAGAGUGUAUACAAAUAGUAAGCUAAUGUCAUAAAGCGGCAUUAGGCUUGGACUAGAUAUGAGUUUAGCAAGCUAAUGUCAUAAAGCGGCAUUACACUUGAUGGAUAUGCAAAUUGCAUGUGCAUGCUAUUAUUAUGAGAAUUAUGCCAAGUUGAUAGCUGCAUUGGGAAGAACAUACAUGUAGCAAUAUGAGAGCACGCUAGAGAGCAUGUGUAUUAAUCUAUUAUUGAUAGAACAAGCUAGCGUCAUAAAGAGACAUAGAAUGUGAAUUGAGCUUAGAUUAUAGCAAUGUUUCAGUGUCAUAAAGAGGCACUAAACAUAGUGAAUGUGGGAACUUCACCUUGAGAUUUGGACUUAGUAAAGCUAAGGUCAUUGACAUUGAAUUAUCGAACGGUUAAACCUUCACUUGAGGCAUAGACUAGACACUGGGGUUGCUAGUGUGCAUUUCCAUGUUAGAGACAUGAUGACUGUUGAGUUGCAUUUCCAUGUUGGAGACAUGACGAUUGGACUAUUGAGGUUUUGACCAUGCUUGCUUUCCAUUUGUGCUCAUACGCACAUGCUUGUGAGGGUCGCUCCCCACAAGCCGGCACUCCGGAGUUAGCCUACGCGACUUAUGUUCGCCCGUGCGGUAUCGAGUAGCCUACGGGGCCUGGAGGGAUAGACUCAUUCCUAGAGUAGGAAUGCUGGAGCUACCACUGGCACUUAGGCGGCACAAGCCGGACUACACCCGUGUAGAUCCUGAAUGAGAUUGAACCAGAAUACUAAACAACAAUUGACAAUCACUACUAGAUAGGUUAUAGUAGUUGGAUUUUCUUGAUAUGCUAUGGCAUAGUGUUGGACAUUUGGGCUUAGAGUAUGCUUGACAGUAUCGCUUAUUACAUUGUAGUAUUCUUGGUUGCUAUGAUAGUACAUACUAGAUAUGUAGUGGGCUCUAGAAUAUAUAUCACACUUUAUAGCAUUACUUGUUGCAUCAUGAUACAUUGUUUAAGUUUUGGGCAUAUUGGAUCAUGUAGAGUAGAUGUACUCCAUGUUGACAUUCAGAAUACUUGUGGCAUAGUAGAGUAGCAUUUUAAUUUCAUGCUUCAAUUACUGUUGAUAUUUCCUGUUAUCAUUAUUUGCUCGUUUGGGGCCUAGUGGUGCGAUUUGAUGCAGGUCAGUAAUUGCCCACUGGGAACUAUAAUUUAUAGUUCUCACGCCCCCUGUUUUAUGUUUCCUUUCAGUGCCUUCCACUCCGGGAGAGGCUCGGGAUCGCGGAAAAGGUUUCGCCUCGAGUUAGCUAUCGAGGGUCUUGGCGUUAGGUGGUCCACAUCUCUUUUGUUUUCUUUUGGAGAGGUUGUGAGAGUUUUGUACCUGAUUAUAGAGACCACCCUAUUUUUGUAUCUUGAGACUUAUGAUGUAUCAGUUUACUUUAUGCUUAGUAGUAUGACUUUCUUUUGAUUCUACAUAAUGUUAGAACCUAGCUAUAUACUUGCUCUGAUAUCUCUAGUUGUAGAUCUUCUCAUGCUUUACUCUUCCGUUUUUGUGUAGACGCCUUAUAUGUGUAGACAUAUGGCGGGUCUGGGCGCGCACCGGGCGGGCCUAUGCCGGGUCCCGGGGCGUGACAAAAGAUUUCUAACCCUAGCUCACUCCUAGCUUGGUUUGGAGCUUCUAGAGAGGUUAGUAGUUUUGAUCUUUCAUUUGAUUCAUGUUUUGGUAGUUUUUUUUAGGGAAAAACCUAGAAAUGAGAAUCUAGGGUUUUAUUUGGGGUUUCUUGAUUUGAGGCUUUUGAGUUGGAAUUGAUGGGUGUAGAACACUCUUAUAGAUUGGAUUUGAAGCUUUCUAGCUUCGAUAUGGGCUUUGAUCAAGUUCUUCUUGACCCAAGGUAUCUUUACACUUUAGUAUGUGUAAUUUUCGAAGUAGUCGUUUUGUAGCUUUUAAUCCUUUAGAAUUUCUCUUAGGGUGCUAGAAGCUUGGGGGACAACUUCGUUCGAAGAAAAGAAAGGGUUCGAAGUGCUUCCGAUGGGUUUGAUCUCACCGAAAUGGGUGAACUCCCCCUAUGUCUUCCUUAUGAUUUUAAGACAUAUUUAGAUGCUUAUUCAUACUUAAUACGACAUGCUAAAAUUUAUGAAAACAUAAUACAUACAUGUUAUGUAUAGUCAAAUUUGAUGCUCUAUGUUGUAGAGGCUUAUAUGUGAACUUGUGCACGAACUAUCACUAUUUGAUGAUUCUUUUUUAUGCAACCAUAGAAAGCAUGUUAGAGCAUGAAUGAUGGUAUAACUCUUAGGGGGUGUCUAGUGAAUGGCUUAGCAAAGUGAUUAUCUCACAUGAUGAACAAUAUACUUGUGACGACAAGGACAUGUGACAUUGCGACCUAGUGAAUAACAAGGCUAGACAUGAAACUAAGCAUGUUGCAUUUCAACCUAGUGGGAUGCCUAGGGCUUGAUAUUAUGACAAUGUAUUGACUUUGAGAUUGAUAGUGUCACGCCCCGGGACCGGCGGAGGCCCUCCCGGUAGCGUGCCCAGACCCGCCAUAUGUCUGCACAUAUAAGGCGUCUACACUAAAAGCGGAAGUAAAAGCAGGAGGUAGAACAAAUAAAAGUAGCGAAAUAACUAGCAAUUACUGAUAUCAGAGCAAGAAAAGUUCUAUCAUCUAUACCAAAGUAAAGGAAAUAAAGCUAGUCAAACAAGGAUAACCAUAAGUAGAACACUAUCUGUCUCAAAAGUACAAAAAUGGUGGUCUCUAGUACACUGGUAAAACUCUCAACCUCUCGCAAAACGAAAUACAUCGAGAGGUAGACCACCUAACAACUCGUCCUUCGCUGAAGAGCUAGCUGGAAGCGAUGCCCUUCCCUCGGUCCCUGGCCUCACCUGGCGUGGAAGGCUCUGAAAAACAUCGAGAAAAAGAGGGCGUGAGAACUAUAAUUUAUAGUUCCCAGUGGGCAAUUACUGACCUCAGCUCAGUGCACCACUAGGCCCUAAAGGAAAGGAUAAGUCUAACAAUAAGAGUAACGAGUAAAUUGCAUAUUAGAAAGCAUAAUAAUUAGGAUGCUAAGCUACAACUUGCAAUUAAACAUGGCAUUCCUAAUGCGACUUUAUCUUGUCAUGGAUAUAUAUGUUCACAAGUAAUAUCAUGCUUUACUUUAUACAGAUAUGAAAGUAAUACAUGGUCAUGACUACAAUGCAUAUAAGGAUGCAAUAAACAACAUCUUCUAGCAUACUACAUAUAUGUAUGAAUACCCAAAUGUCCACAACUAUGCUAGAAGGAAGUCCAAGUGAUCCUACUACUACUCUCAGACUAGUAGUGUUCAUAAUAAACUCAACACCGUGUCGAUUUCCAUUUCCAAUUAAGGACCUACCAAAGGUAGUCCAGCUUGUGCCGCCUAAGUGCCUGUGGUAGCCCAACAUCCCUACUCUUGGGAUGUGUCUGUCCCACUCGACCCCGUAGGCUUCUCAAUACCGCACGAGCGAACAUAGGUCGCGUAGGCUAACUCCGGAGUGCCGGCUUGUAGGGAGCGACCCUCACAAGCAUGUGCGAAUGAGCACAAAUGGCAAACAAGCAAGGUCACUGUCUCAAAUACUCUAUCCGCAUGUCUCUAACAUGGCAAGGUCACUAGCAUCCCAAGGAUCUAGCCCAAUGUCUCUAAGUGAUGUCCCAACACUCACUUGCUUAGUGCCUCUUUAUGACACUUAAGCAUCACACUGAUCAAGCUCGAUUCUUGUUCUAUGUUUCAUUUAAACAUUAAUACUAAUGACUACUAUAGCCCGGGCCCAAUGCCUCUUUAUGACAUUGGCCCAAUUCUCAAAUAGUCCAAGUUCUCAAGCCCUCUCUAGGCUUCUAAAAUUCCUAAUGUCCCAAUUGGCAUAUAGGUUAAAUGCAAGAGAGCAAGAUCCGUUUUCAUAAUAGGGAUCAUGGUUCCCAAUCAUAACUAGAAUGCUAAGUCUCACAUGCAUGCACUCUACCACAUAGGGGUCUAAAAUUUCACUAUACAUAAUAUAUGCAUGUUAAGCAUUCUAAAAUUCAUAUUAAAUACAUUUAACAUGGAAAUGCAUGAAUUUCUAUUUUACGAAACAUAUUUGCCAAAUAUGAGCAUUUCUCAUAUCAUAGGCUAGGUCAAACCCACCGAACCGUCGCGUGCUCCUUCGAUUCGCCGAACGGAGUUGUCCACGAGUCUCAAAAUACCCUAAAAGUAAUCAGCGAAGAGAUACGAGAGCAUUACGACCAACCAAGAGAUCAAACAUUAACCUAGAAGCAAAAAGGGCCAAAAUUCACCUCAAGAGGAGAAAUCUCUUCCAAAGCUCCAAAAGAGAGCUAGAACCCUUCCAAUCCAAGCCCAAGGAAGGUUCUAAACCAAUCAAUCUAGCCCCAAAAGCCCUAGAUCAAAAAGCCCCAAAAAUCAACCCUAAUACCCAUUCUAGGGUUUCAAAUGGCAAAAUCUACCGAAACAAGAAUCAAAGGGUAGAAUCAAAGUACUAACCUCUCUAGAUGCCUCAAAACAAGCUCCAAAUCUUCUAGGGUUGAAGAUUGGUCCACCACCAAGCCCUACAAGCAAGCUCCAAGCCUUGCAAAGGUGGGAAAGAGAGAAAGGGGUUGAGCUCCAAGCUCCCUCAAGCUAGCUCCUCUUCUUCUUCUCCUCCUUCUUCUUCUUCUUCUCUCUCUAGAAAGUGUAGGGAGAGGGUGAGAAUGAGAGAAUGAGAGAGGGAAGAGGAGGAAAUGGCUAAUAAGCCCAUCUAGUGUAACAAAAUCCGGAGAGGCCCCUCAAAAACCCGAUAUUGCAACAGCCCGAACUGGGCAGUUUUCGCCCAGAGGGACCGGUCUCUCCCCAGCAGGGACCGGUCUCUCGCUGCGAACCCGAAAAUCCAUCGUUCGGGAACCGGUCUCUCCCUGUGCGGGACCGGUCUCUCACUGCGUAGACGCGCUCGGGGACCGGUCUCGCCCGCCAGGGACCGGUUGCCUCAGGGCUGCCGCAACACUGUUCACUGGGGGACCGGUCUCUCCUUCCAGGGACCGGUCCCCGAGAGUAAAAACUCUCAGGACUUGUCCAGAAUUUCAGUUUUCGAAUUUUUUAGGUCGGAAAAUAUUCUACGACCCUCCACCAAGUGUGGAAAAGCUCGAAACACAUCCAAAUACUCGAACCUCGCAAUUUGCAAAGGUCCAGUGUGUUACAUUCACCCCUCCUAAAAAGAGUUUCGUCCGCGAAACUCAAAAGGACAAAAUACCUCAAGCCUCCAUCUGAAAAAGAUAGGGAUAGCGCUCCAGCAGUGCGCUCUCUAACUCCCAAGUGGCCUCGCGUUCGUCAUGGUUGCUCCAAAGCACCUUCACGUAAGGAAUUUCUCGGUUCCGCAAUCUUUUCACCUCGCGAGCCAAAAUCCUCAAGGGUUGCUCUUCAAAGCUCAAAUCAUCCCGCAGCUUCAAAGGUGUAGUAUCCAACACGUGAGCCGGAUCGUGGAUGUACUUCCGAAGGACCGAUACAUGGAACACAUUGUGUACACCCGAUAGGUUUGGCGGUAGAGCGAGUCGAUACGCUACCGGGCCUACACGCUCCAAAACCUCAAACGGUCCAAUGAAUCGGGGGCUCAACUUGCCCCGGAUUCCAAAUCUUCGAAUUCCUUUGGUCGGCGAGACUUUCAAGAACACAUGGUCUCCAAUCUGAAACUCCAAGUCUCGUCGACGCCGAUCAGCAUAACUCCUCUGCCUACUCUGGGCCGUCAACAAUCUCACCCGAGCAAUGCGAACCUUGUCCUCUGCUUCCUUGAGCACAUCAGGGCCUAAUGCCAAUCUCUCACCAACUUCAUUCCAAUGAAGUGGCGAUCUACACUUCCGUCCAUAGAGUGCCUCGAACGGUGCCAUCUUGAUGCUUGCUUNGAUUAAUGUUACCACCUUCGGCCAUUAGAUAACAAUUUAUCUAGAUCCCGCUCUAAUACCAAUUGAAAGUUUUGAGGAGCCCAAGGAUCUAUCUAGAUUGUAUCUAUCACCUAGAGGGGGGGUGAAUAGGUGUAACGGCCAAAAACCACAAAUCUCGAUGCAAUAAAAAUAAAUGCAGAAAAUAAAAAGCACACCAAGAUUUACGUGGAAAAACUCCAAUUUGGAGAAAAAUCCACGGGACCAACACGCGAAAAAAUAAUCCACUAAGAGAAAAGAUUACAAGGUGAUUUACCGACUCCACGGACUCAACCUCUCUUGACCUCCUAUGGAUCUCGCGCAAUCCUCUGGGUUGUCCACACCCUCACGUCCGUAUCCACGAACGCCCCGACUUCGAAUCCACGAAGCUCCAAUCACGCCGAAUCCACGACGCCACUCGAAUCCACGAGCCCACGAUCCGAACCCACGAACCGCCGUCAAACACGCCGAAUCCACGACGCCGUCAUGAAGAGCAUCAUGAUUAUGGUGAUCCUUUGCUUAGGAGUAUCGUAGAAAACCAGUGAAAGAAACUCCAAGCAAAGCGGAGAUCAAAUCGACAUAUAGAUUUCAAAUUACAAUAUUCCGAUUUGACCUAAAAGAGGCUAAUAUGUAGAAAAUAGGUUUUAGAUGAAAUCCAAGCCUCUAGGGUUUCUCAAACAUGUAUUCUUAUGAUGCUUGAUCUGUUAGAGAAGCCCAAUAGCUUAUUUAUAGACUUUAGAAUCAAUUGGAGUCGGAUUAGAAAGAUUUCACGAUUUUACAUUGUGUACCGGUACACUUUAAGCUGUCACCGGUUACACAAUGACGGAACGAAAAACCUGACGAAACAGUGGAACUGGUUACACCCCUGAUGGUCGUACCGGUACACAUUUUGUACCGGUACACUUCUGAUGCUGUACCGGUACACAUUGCAAAUUUUCGCCGUUUCGGGUUUUGCACAGUUCCAAUGCACUUUCUAAUCCGUUAGACAUUGGUAACAUGAUUCUAAUGACUACAAUUAAGUAUGAAUCACCAUAACAUGAAUUUAUACUUUACCUGGACAUCGUGAUUCACUGUGAGUUAUUUUCCAACUUCUUCGAAAUCUUGAAUUCUUCGAUCUUCGACGAUAUGCACCGGUUCUUCAAGACUCCGACUCAUUUCACGAAACUUGCCAAUACACAAGACUUAACAAUCUCCCCCUUUGGCAAUUUCGUGACAAAACUCACACCAACUCAAAAGAAAACAAUUAAAGAAAACGAAGUUCAAUUGUCAUCACCAAAACAUUGAACUCCUCGCGUGUAAUCCAAAUACAUUUUGAAACUCAAACCUACAUCAAGAACUCCUAAAACAAACUCUAUGACUUAGACACAACUAGGAGUCUUGAAGUCUUGAUUUCCUGCAAAACAAUUCAUCCAAAAAUGAUUAAUCUUAAAUUCUUAUACCUUCUCCCCCUUUGUUCUUCACACCUUCUCCCCCUUUGUUCUUCACAUCUCAAUCACAUCUCCCCCCUUUGCUCUUGAACUCAUCAUUCUCUUGCUUAGUUCAUCUCGCCUGUUGACAUCUAUGCUCUCCCCCUGUUCUACGCUCUCCCCCUUUUUGUCAAAAAUUGCCAAAAGAAAACAAAUAGAGAGAGAAAACAUACUAGAAAGCAUAAAAGUAGACUAGUCAUAGUUACAGGCCUAAAGCAAAAGUAAAAACAAGCGACAGAAAGAUAAGCAAGCAAGUCUAAAACAUCGUCCUAGAAAGUAAGCAUAAAAAGUAACAAGACAAAGCUCGAGGAAGACAUCACUCCGUGUCCUCGUCAUCAUCAUUAUCAUCAUCUCCUGCUCCAGCUCCAGAUCCCCCAGCCUCAGGAGCAUCACCAGACGGUGGAAUGAGUGGAUGUCGUGAAGUCGAUCUGGUAUAAGUCGUCGGCUCAGCAGGAAAGAUAUCAUCAUGCCUACAUCCCAUUUUCUCCAUCAUUCUCUUCAUCCCCAUUUCCACCUUUCUCGCAAGAUCAGCUAAUUUCUUCUUCAUAGAGCGCACCUCGUGAUGAAGCGAUUCCACAGUAACCACUCCCCCUGAACUAGAAGAUCCCUCGUGUGUUGCUCUAGGUGGAGGUGCGGAACUAGUAGCUCCUCUGGAGGAUCCUUUGGUUUGCUGAAACGUCUUCAAUGUGCUCCUUAACUUUGCCCAAGUUACAGCAUCGAUAGGUCCAAGUCCAAAAUCAUACUUCUCACAUGACACGUCAAUACCAUUUUCCUGAAGAAUCCUCGUGAUCAACAAUGGAAACGGAAGAAGAUCACGACGGACCGGAGACUGUAUGACAUGAACCAUUCGUUGCCACAUAAGAAAAGGAAUAUUGAUGUUCAAUCCACCUGCUUCCUCAGGAUGUCCAAGAAGAUACAGAAGCACAAGACGAUCCCAACGAAUUCUUUUCGUUCCUAUCGUCGGUUGAACAUUGUAACUCAUCACCAAUGACAGUAGAUGAUAUUCAGGUAGCAAAUCCUUAGAUUCCACAUAUGAAUGAUUAGUCCUAACUCCUUCCUUGCAUAUAGCAUGAAUAACAGUCUCCCAGUGAGUUGCAGACUGAAAAUGCCCUGUCGUAUAGUGAAGGCCGCUAGUAUCAACAUGCAUACCUAAGAGUUUGUUAAGGAUUUUGUAUUGGCAAGUUUCGUGAAGUGAGUUGGAGUCUUGAAGAAUCGAAGCGAAUUGACAAAGAUCAAAGAAUUCAAGAUUUCGAAAAAAUCAGAAAAUACCUCACGACAUGAAUCACGAUGGUCAGGUAAAGUUUUAACUCAUGUUAUGGUGAUUCAUACUUAAUUAUAGGCAUUAGAAUCAUUUAAUCAAAGUUUGGUUAAUUAGAAAGUGCUUUGGACAAGUGCGGAACCUGAAACGAUGCAAAACACGAAAAAUUGCAUUGUGUACCGGUACAGCAAUCAAGCGCGUACCGGUACAGCCACUGACUUGGCUUCGUAUUUCUGUUCCGUCCUUGUGUAACCGGUGACAGCCUUUCGUGUACCGGUACACAGUGUAAAACCGUGAAAACUUUCUAAUUCGACUCCGAUUGAUUCUAAAGUCUAUAAAUAAGCUAUUGGGCUUCUCUAACAGAUCAAGCAUCAUAAGAAUACAUGUUUGAGAAACCCUAGAGGCGUGGAUUUCAUCUAAAACCUAUUUUCUACAUAUUAGCCUCUUUUAGGUCAAAUCGGAAUAUUGUAAUUUGAUAUCUAUAUGCCGAUUUGAUCUCCGCUUUGCUUGGAGUUUCUUUUCCUGGUUUUCUACGAUACUCCUAAGCAAAGGAUCACCAUAAUCAUGAUGCUCUUCAUGACGGCGUCGUGGAUUCGGCGUAUUUGACGGCGGUUCGUGGAUUCGGAUCGUGGGCUCGUGGAUUCGAGUGGCGUCGUGGAUUCGGCGUGAUUGAAGCUUCGUGGAUUCGAAGUUGAGGCGUUCGUGGAUUCGGACGUGAGGGCGUGGACAACCCGGAGGGUAGCGCGAAGAUUCAUAGGAGGUUAAGAGAGGUUAAGUCCGUGGAGUCGGUAAUCACCUUGUAAUCUUUUCUCUUAGUGAAUUGUUUUUUCGCGUGUUCGUCCCGUGGGUUUUUCUCCAAGUUGGAGUUUUCCCACGUAAAUCUCGGUGUGCUUUUUAUUUUCCGCAUUUAUUUUUAUUGCAUCGAGAUUUGUGGUUUUUUUUUUGUCGUUCACCUAUUCACCCCCCUCUAGGUGAUAGAUACAAUCUAGAUAGAUCCUUGGGCUACUCAAAACUUUCAGAGUUCUCCAAUAGUAUCAGGGGUGACGUGAAUCUUCUUCUUACGUACAUAAGUCUCAAACACAUAAGUCCCAGUCUCCUCAUCCUCUCCAAGUACUACUCCGUUCAUAUAGAACUCUCUAAUUAGCUCUACACAAAAUGGAGCACGAGCUGGAACCCGUCCAACAGGCUCAAUAGGGACCCUUUGCAGCAAACGGCCAAAUUCUGGUACUUCCUUGACUAGCUCAGUGAAGUUGACAUAACGCUCAGCCAGAACUGAUCGGCUUGAAUAAAUCUGCUGUCGCGCUAAUGAAGCCUCUGCAGCACGUUUGGAGCGCCUUUCACUUACACGAGGACCACCUCCUCUUGAGGAUUCUCCUGCUAAGCCUUUUCCUUUAGCCGCGCGAGUAGCAGCUUCUUCAGUAGCUUCAGGCGAGCUGGCCUGAUAGUCAGGAUCUGAUCCAGAUGACUCAUCGGCAGUACGAGUCCUCUUUGACUGACCACGUCUCCCUCGACCACCACCGCGACCACGACCGGCGGCCAUAAGCACCAAAAGCAGAAUUACGAACGAGAAUGCCAUUUUCCUACAUGAAAAUAAGCCAAUCAUGAAGAAAAAUUUUGAAAAAUCUGCAAAAAUAGCGACAAACAUUCCAAUAUCACUAGAAUGCAACCAAAUGCUAUUUCUAACAAGAUCAUGCAACAAAUUUUUUCAACAAAUGACACUUUUAAAAAGAAAUCCCGAAAUUACAUGAAAAUCAAAGCUUAGAACAUGGAUCAGCGAAAAAUAACGUGUUUUAAUGUGAUUCAAGUGUUCUAGAAGCAAGAUAAUGUCAUUAAGCACUGAUCUACAGCAAAAAUUGCAUCAAAAACGAUCAACAACAAAGAUCUAUGCAUGAACACGAAAUUUUUCGAAAAAUAAACAUGAACACGAUGAAACAAUUAAAUCCAUGCGAAAUACUCACAGAUUUUUGAGGGAAAACGAGUAGAUCUGGAAGAGGAAGGCACCAGGAAUUUUUAGAGAGAGAAAGAGCGAAAUUUGGAUUAGUUUAGAGUGAGAAAUAAAUCUCUGUAACCGGUUAUAUUGCUGCGGCUACAGUGAUUUGUACCGGUACACGGGAUUUUGUACCGGUACACUUUGCCAGAUUUCGAAAAUAUGAAUUUAAAAAUCCAUCAAAUUAAAUUAAUUUCAUAUAAAUUAAAGAUUUUACUCCAAAAAUUAUUAUAAUGAAAAUAAUAUAUUAUAAAAUUUCAAAAAUCAUCAAAACAUCAAAAUUUUAUUAUCAAAAAUGAUUUAAUGAGUCACAACCAUCAAGAUGCAAAUUGAUGAAAAAUGAUUCUUAGAAAUUCAACAAAAUUGACACCAAUUUGUAAUAACAUGUUCAAUAUGGAGAUUCAACCAAAAUGAUACCGGGGGUGGCUCUUUGAGCAUCUUUUUCAAACUAACACCUUAUUACUCCGAAAAAAACUCUAGAAUAUUUAUAUAUUUUUUUUUCAACCUUUUUCGGCUUUUUCAAUUUAAUCUUCAUGUGGUAGCUUCACACACUUGCUGGACGACCGGGGUGGUAGCUCUUUCCUACAUGUGGUGGUAGUUUUCACACUCCAUUUGGAUGUAACUCUUUCCACAUCUUUUAAACAUAGGAGUUUCUCCUUUUUAUUUUAUUUAUAAUUUCAAACUCCCCCUAAAUUAGGCAAUCUCACAAUUGAAAAUAUUUUGACAAAUUUUAGUCUAUUAGAGAAUAUCCAUUCAUCAUAUCCAACACUCACAACCAAGAUGAAUUAAUCACCAAAAAAUCAAAUUUGAUUUCAAAAUUUUGAUGAAUUUAUGCAAUAAGAAAUCAUAUAAUAAAUUAUCGUCAAAAUAAUAAAUAGUGGAGUAAAGACGAUAAUUAAUAUGAAUUUAACUUAAAAUGAUUGUGAAGUUAACGCCGUCUAAACAACUUUAAAACAAUAUUUCUCCUCAAAAUCAAGAUUCUCCUCUCUCAAAAAAAUUGAAUUCCAAAAUACCUUUCCUCAAAAUGAUUUUUAAUCAAACAAAAUUUAAAGCACCAAGAAUCAUUUGAACAUGUAAUGCAAUGAAUAAAAUUAUGCAAUAAGCACCUAUCAAAGCAUUACACUAAAGAUCAAAAUGACUAAGACGAGGAGCAAGGAAAGAUAUCACCUUUCCGGAUCCAAACUUGUCGGAUCUUUGGUUUUCUCGGCUUGUCAAUGUUUGGUGCCGUUUGCUUAGUUUUGAAAUCGAUCGUUGGUGGUUUCUUCGGUUGAGACUUUGGUAGAACUUGGCGUUGAAGUUUAGAAUUCCGGUUUGCUUUAAGAUUCGGUUGGAUUUGGCGUUGCACAUUAGAACACCGAUUCUUUUGAGGUACUCGACUAAUUUGAUUUUCCUUUUGAUACCGCGGGGGAAGUCGAGUUGUAGACGAUGUCGAUUGAGGUUUUGAGAGUGUCGAUCGAUGUGUAGACAAUGCCAAUUGUUUCUUCUUUUCCUUAUUUGGGCAAUUCCUUUUAAUAUGUCCGUUGACGCCACAUUUAUGACAUACUUUGCUUUUCGAAGUUGUUGAGACAUUAGAAGAUGCGGUUGAUGCCUUCUCAAUAUAUGUGCGUUCAUAACCGAGUCCAAGCUUGUUCGUUUGACCCAAUCCGAGCAUAUGGUCCAAUUUCUUUGAUCCGGAAGAAAAUCGUUGAAGAUCGGAUUGGAGUUGACGAACUUGAUCGGUCAAGACUUGAUUGGAUUUGUAUGAUUCCUCGAAUUGUUGUUCCAAAAAUCCAACCUUGUCUUUAUAUGAUUUGAUCGUUGAUUCCGCUUCAUUAAGCUUUCCGAGGAGGUCCGAAUUCGUUUUCAAAAUUGAUUCCCUUUCCUCCUCGAGAGCUUUGUUCGUAGUUUUCAAGUUGUUGUUAUCCUCUUCAAGAUUCAACAUACGAUGCCUCAACUUCUUAUUUAAUUUAGCCAUCUUCUUUGAUUCAAUAAGAAGUAGGUUGUAAGCUUCCGCUAUAUCCUCGUCGUUCGAAUCCUCCCCGCUUUCCCCGUUGUCGCUCGAUGAAUCAUGCGAGGAAAAAGAAACAUUAGAAUUAGUAGCGAUAGAGGAUAAACACACAACAUUUGACGAAGGUGUAUUAGCAAAUAAGGCAAUUUGAUCAUUCUUCUCUUCGUCACUUGACGAUGAAUCACUUGAUGUUGAAUCAUCCCACGUCUUUGCUUGCAUAGCCUUUUGUCUAUACGUCUUCUUCGAAGGACAAUCCGUCGCAAUGUGGCCGUAGCCUUUGCACUUGUAGCAUUGGAUCUCUCCUUCAAAUUCAUCCUUUUCCUUUGAAGACUUUGCACGGUUUUUAUCCUUAGACUUUGAAGAUGAAGAUGAUUUAGGCAAAGAUUGUCGCUUAGAUGUUGAAGCCUUAUUCAAUCUAUUCUUGUUCCGGAAAUUUCGACGAAACUUCUUCGUGAGGAGCGCUAAUUGAUGUUCAAAAUCCGUAAUUGAUAACUCGUCGUCGGAACUCGAGUCUUCGUCCUUCUCCUUUGUAGAUUUCAAUGCAACCCCUGUGCUUUUAGAGAAAGACUUGGAAGAAGAUUGAUUAGUAGGAAAAGUCAUCUCAUACGUUUGCAAAGCACCUACUAAUUCCUCGACUUUCAUCUCGUCCGGAUGUUUCACCGUUUCGAUUGCGGCUACUUUUGCCCGAAAACGUUCCGGAAGAGUUCGAAGAAUCUUUCGCACAACUUUAGCAUCCGGGAUUUUCUCCCCCAAGUUAGCGCAUGUAUUGACCACGUCUUGUAGACGCGUAUAGUACUCGGUAAAGGUCUCGUUUUCAUCCAUCGAAAUUGAAUCGAACUUGCUAGUUAGCAUUUGCAAUUUUUGGACCUUUACUAAGCUUGUUCCUUCAUGCGUAACUUGUAGAGUAUCCCAAAUUUCUUUGGCGGUCUCACACGCCGAAACGCGAGUAAACUCCGUUUGAGACAAUGCAUUAAAUAAAGAGUUUAUGCCCUUGCCGUUAAACGAAGAUGACUCGUUUUCUUCUUUCGUCCAUUUGUUCCGUGGUUUUGGCUUUUCAACAUUAUCGACCUUUUCUAUCGGAUGUUUCCACCCAAAUUCAAUUGAUGCAAACCGCUAUCGGAUAGAAUUAGAAAAGCUCUCAUGCGAAGUUUCCAAUAAGCAUAAUUACGUGCGUCGACGAGCGGAGGUCGAUUAUGUUACACCUUCGGCAUUAGAGUAACUAAUUGUAUUAGAUCCCGCUCAAUACCAAUUGAAAGUUUUGAGGAGCCCAGAGGAGUCUAUCUAGAGUUGUAAUCUAUCACCUAGCAGCGGGGGUGAUAGGUUUAGUACGCCAAAAACCACAAAAUCUCGAUUGCAUAAAAAAAAUGCUGAAAAUAAAAAAGCACAUCCAGUAGCGGGAGAAAAACUCAAUUUUGAGAAAAACCCACCGGACCAAACACGGCGAAAAAAAUCACUAAGAGAAAGAUUACAAGGUUGACUUUACCGACUCCACGGACUCAACCUCUCUUUCCUCUAUGGAUCUCGCCGCCAAUUCCUCUGGGUUGUCCACACCCUCACGUCGUUCACACGCCCGGAUUCCGAAUCCCCACGAAGUCCAAUCACGCCGAAUUCCCGCGCACUCGAUCAACGAUGCCACGAUGACGACGAACCGCGUCAAACAGACGUCCGAAUUCACGACCCGUAUGAAGAGCAUCAUUUGAUUAUGGGUGAUCCUUUGCUUAGGAGAGUAUGUAGAAAACCAGUGUAAAGAACUCCAAGCAAAGCGGGGAUCAAAAUCGAAAUAUAGCAUUUCAAAUUUACAAUAUUUCGAUAUUGACCUAAUAAAGAGGUAUAUGUGAAAUAGGUUUUAGAUUGAAAUCAAGCUCUAUGGUGUUUCUCAACAUGUAUUCUUAUGAUUCUUGGAUCUGUUAGAGAGCCAAUGCUUAGUUUAUAGACUUAGAUCAAUUUGGAUCGAUUAAAAAGAUUUUCACGAUUUACUUGUGUACGGUCACUUUAGCUGUCACCCGGGUUAACAAUGGACGGCAACGAAAAAACCUGACGAAACAGUGGACCGUUAACACCCCCUGAUUAUGUGCUACCGGUGCACUUUUUGUACGGUACACUUCCUGUGCUCAACAGGUACACAUUGCAAUUUCGCACGUUUGGUUUUGCACAGUUCCAUAAUGCACUUUCUAAUCCGUUAGACAUUUGUAAGAUUCUAAUGAUACAAUUAAGUAUGAACACCAUAGAUGAAUUUUACUUUACUGGACAUGUGUUCAUGUGAGUUUAUUUCCCAUACUUCUUCGAAUCUGAAUUCUUUCGAUCUUCGAGUUAUGCAGCCGGUUCUUCAGACUCCGACUCUAUUUCAUCGAAACUGUGCAAUACAGUCAAGACUUAUAACAGGAUAAAAAACGGGAGUUGUUGAUAAUCGAUAAGGAAGUAGUACCCCGUGCAAUUCGACAGAUUCAUCAAGUUAAACUGUUGCGGUCUUUCACUAUAGUCAAGUAGUGUGGAUGGUAUAAAUGCGCACCGAUCGUCAAACUAUCCACAAUCACCAUAUAGAGUCAUACCCGGCCUGUACGAGCAUCAUCACAAGUCCCAUGGUAUCAUUUUUCAUUUCCAAACUUUGAACGGUAGGCUCUGCAGAUCCUGCAGGGAACUCGUAGUGCUCAGCCUUCACCUGUUGGCAGUCAAUCUAGCAACAAAACUUCACCAACAUCUUUUUCAUCCCGGAGACCACCAGUAAAGCAACUUCAAGUCCUUUACAUCUUGGUGCCCCGGAAUGUAUAGCAUACGGAGAUCGGUUGUGCUUCUUGAAGUAUAUUCCUCUUUAUGCCCAUGUCCGCAGGUACAAAGUUUCGCGGAAAGCAUCCAAUCAUCACCGUCUAAAGUGGGAGUCACCGUGCUAACCAUUAACAUCCUUAGCUCGAAUUUUGGCAAUACCGAGUUCGGAAGUUGUUUUCUUAUAAUCCUUUCCAAAAUGUAUAGGUGCACCACCAAAUCAUCAGUUCAAAUUGUAUUAGGAGCAACCACUCAACUCAACGCUUCAUCUGUCGAUCAACGGCGGUUUGGGCUAACCAUUAAGCAUCCUAAUUUUUGCCGUCAUUUCCGAUUAGGCAUCUGCCAACAACGUUUAGCCUUGCCCGGGUGGAACAGUAUCGUCUCAAUCAUAAUCUUUGGUAGUAGCUCCAACAUCAUGCGUGCUCAGUUCAAAACUCCUUCGGAGUGAUAUUAAGAUACUGUUUAAGUUUGUGACCGUAUGAUACCUUCACAUCGCUCGCCAUAGAGCGUGAUGGCGCCAUAGUUCAUGCAAAGACUACGGCCGCUCAACUCCAAGGCCGAUGAGUGGGUAAUUCUUUAUACUCCUUCCACUUUGAGGCGGGAGAUUGCAUACGCGAUCAUUUCCCGUCCUGCAUCAAAACACAGCCCAAUCAUAAGGAAGCAUCACUGUAAAUCAACAUACCUGCUUUUUUCCCGAAAAGCACGUCGACAAGGUAAGGAUGGGCAGUCGUCAAGUCGCUGCUUCAACUCUUGGAACUCCUUCACAGCAUCAGUCCAAAAUAAACUACGGUACCUAUGCGUGAGUCUCGUUGAGGGAGUAGAUAAUUUUCGCAAAUCCCUCGAAAACCAAGUCCGUAGUAGCGGCCAAACCAAUGAAGUCGCGUAACAUCUCGUCAAGCUCGUCGGCCUCGGCCUAAUCCUUGAUAGUUCGUUUUUCUCGGGAUCCGGCUAUGCCUGGAUCCUGAAUACAUGGCCCAAAAACGCAUCCUCUCUAAGCCAAUCACACUUUUUCAAUUGCGAUAGAGCUUCUCUUUCCCGAAGACUUGAAGUACAGUCUCAAGUGUCCUCGUGGAAUCCGCGUCACUCGUGAAUACACUAAGAUGUCGUCGAUAACACCACAACAAAAUCUGUCAAAUAAGUUGAAAACACGGCUUCAUCAGAUCCAUAUAAAGCUGCCGGAACGGAUUAGAGCGCCAAACGGCAUAACCGUAACUCAUAAUGUCCUUACCGUGUUCUAAAAGCCGUCUUCGACAUCAUCCUCAGGUUGAUCCUCAACUGGUGAAUUAUCGAUCGUCAAUCUUGGAAUCUACACACAUCCCUGUGAGACUGAUCAAAUAGAUAAUCAGAUCUCAGGUAAUGGAUACUUGUUCUAAUCGUGACUUUAUUGAGUUCACGAUAGUAUCGCAUAGCGAAGCGAUCAUCUUUCUAUGCUUCACAAACAAAACCGGUGCUCCCCAAGUGCACAUUCGGUCGCACAUAACCUUAUCAGGAGGUCAUGCAACUGUGCCUUCAGCACUGCUCUCAACUUCUGCUGGUGCCAUCUAUAGGCGCUUUGAAGUUGGAAGUAGUCCCCGGAAUGAGAUUUCCCAAAUCAAUCUCCUAUCAGGCGUCAUGCUGGCAAAGCUCCGCAAAGGAAACAAUCUAAAACUUCCGCACUACGGGGAUAUCUCAUCCUAGGGAGUGUCAUGCACAACCAAACACACAUUAGCAGUAGGCAACGCAGUUCUAUAAUCAAUGCCUAGCUCGAGAGGAGCUAAUCGUCAUCGGCAAUAGGAAGUCUGGCAUCCUCGCGUACACAACUCGCGCCACGGCUCUUUCUAAAUUCACCGUUGUCGGAUUCUUACAAUCAGAUGGUGGGCAAGUAUUGGUCAGCCCAUCCAUGCCAAACAAAAUCAUAAUUCCACCGCGUUUUUGUGCAAAGCUAGUAAGUCACGGGCAUGAUCAAUCUCAAUCCUAACAGGGGCAACUGGGGGCAAAUCCCCGAUGUCUAAGAGUGUCGGUACAACAAUCGUCCGGGUGCAACGCAAGCGAUACAAGUGGAGAUUGCAUGCAACUCUGCAAACAGGCCUGAUCAAUGAUGAAUGCGAGCCACCUGUAUCAAACAAAGCUCUAACUCGUAAUACCAUUGAAGUAUAAAAUGAUACUGCACCAGAUUCUCGGCUGACCGCCGCUCCUCAGUUGGGCCGCGCAUGCGCCGUGGGGCGCUCGCCUGACCCCUCCGCCUGCCGCAAAACUGAACGGCCGUCCUGACCUGGUAAUGCGCAGAAGAUGUCCUGGCUGGGCCUAGCGAUGCUCCGGUGAGAUUGCCGCGAUGGCGGCUGGCCAAUGGAACUCCUUCGGGCAGUCCGAUGGAAAGUGGCCAUCCGGCACACAGACAGCACCUGCCCCGGCUGCUGAGUAACACAUGCGCGGGGGUGAGGACCGCACGAUCAGCAGGGGAACCUGACGCGUCGGGUCCUCUCGCAUGAGUAGACUAGUCCACGUGCUGCGACUGGCUCCGCUCCUGGGGUGCCUCGGCGGCCUCCGUGAGUGCGUCUUGAGUUGCACCCUCAGCGCGGGCCUCUUGCCCUUGCCUUUAUCUAGGGUCCUCCGACGCUCCUGCAGAUCCGCCGCUCCUCCGCUCCACUAUUCGAAGAAGCCGUCCACAACCUCACCGGUAAGUCUGGAGGUUGGUAAGCACUGCACCAACCGAAGAUAGAAGGCCGCAAACCAGCCGCCUCAAAAGAUGCGGGCCUUGUCCUCCGCUCGGGCCUCAACACAACGGUACACCAGUGCUAGUAUCCGGGGGAGAACUCCCUCCCGUAUCCACCACUGACGCUCAUCUGGCGCAAGCUGCGCCAAAGUCCUGCUCCAUCUUCUCUGACAAGGCUGCUAGGAAAGUGAGUGGCCAGUCAGUAAGCUCCUUGAACCUAGUCCAAGAUAACUCGCUGCAGUCGGUGUUGGCGGUGUCCUGAAUAUUCCAACCACCAACGGUAGGGCCUGCGCCGUCCAGAAAGUGAGGUGGCAGCACAAACUUGAUCCCCGCUCUUCCACAAGGUGCUGUCUCGAUAACAGGGGCUUCUCAAGUGUGCAGCAACAUUUUCAACAUCCAGUGACUCGCGAGUUCUCGCACAUUCCAAGUCCUCAGGCUCACCUCCUGAACUCGCUGAGCGCGUCCAUAAUGCCGAAUCCUCGUCAGGCUCCCUCGAGCAUACGGGGAAAGCUGCCCCGUGUACUGGUCUCUGAACAGGUAUGCCAGCCACUCACUCCCGAGGUGCGGUCGCCGUGCCGCACGUGAGAACUGGGCAAGGCGGGAGUCUGCGCCUCGUGUGCGACGUCCACCACGGGUGCCUGGCGAGUGUGGGGCCUGGGGUCUCACCUCGAAGCUGCCGCCUGCUGCAGUAGGAGGUCCUCAAGAUGCUUCAUCCGCCGCCUCUGCGCUGAGCUACCUUAGGCCGUCGCUGGCCGCUGCUUCUGCGUGCGCCAACAGAUCAGUGAGAACUGCAGCUGGGCCUCAAGUCACGGACCUCGCUAGAUCCGGACCAGAUAGCGGAGGUCUCGACCUCCCUCGGGUGUGGCGCAUCAUCCGCCACCGGCAGACUUGCGAGCGCGUGUAAUCGCGCAUGUCAUACAGAACGACUAAUACAGGCAAAGUUAGCUAACCCGCACUAAUCGAGUCCCGCUCACAUAAAAAAACCCAAAUCACGUCACGCAACAGUAAAACAGUGUCCUUCACUACUAACUCCCGAUGUUACAUUGUCGGCCGCAACGUAACGCCUCCGCGAAGCUUAGAGCCAUACACUCCAAUUAACCUCUGACUUUUUAGAGUUGAUCCAUUGAACCCAAUCGUAAAUACUUUCGCUCACAGUCAAUUAGAUCUCGUCUCUCACGGGCCUAAUUCCUAUAGUUCCAACCGGCUAAGGUUGCGUAGGUCCACUAAGACUUCACCUAGGGCUCUGUCACCAAAUUAGAUCUGAUCGACCCCGGGACCGCGGAGCCCUCCGGUAGCGUGCCCAGACCCGCCAUAUGUCUGCACAUAUAAGGCGUCUACACUAAAAAGCGGAAGUAAAGAGGCAGGAAGAACAAAUAAAAGUAGCGAAAUAACUAGAAACUACUGAUAUCAGAGCCAAGAAAAGUUCUAUCAUCUAUACCAAGUAAAGGAAAAAAGCUAGUCAAACAAGUAACCAUAGUAGAACACUAUCUGUCAAAAGUACAAAAUGGUGGUCUCUAGUACACUGGUAAAAUCUCAACCUCUCGCAAACGAAAUACAUCGAGAGGUAGACACCUAACAACUCGUCCCUCGCUGAAGAGCUAGCUGGAAGCGAUGCCCUUCCCUUCGGUCCUGGCCUCACCGGCGUGGAAGGCUCUUGAAAAACAUCGAGAAAAGAGAGGCGUGAGAACUAUAAUUUAUAGUUCCAAUGGGCAAUUACUGACCUCAGCUCAGUACCACCACUAGGCCCAAAAGAAAAGGGUAAGUCUAACAAUAAGAGUAACGGUAAAUUGCAUAUUAGAAAGCAUAAUAAUUAGGAUACUAAGCUACAAUUGCAAUUAAACAUGGCAUUCCUAAUGCGAUUUAUUUGUUAUGAGUAUAUAUUGUUCACAAGUAAUAUCAUGCUUUCUUUAUACAGAGUAUGAAAGUAAUACAUGGUCAUGACUACAAUGCAUUAAGGAUGCAAUAAAAAACAUUUCUAGCAUACUACAUGUAUGUAUGAAUACCCAAAUGUCCACAACUAUGCUAGAAGGAAGUCAAGUAAUCCUACUACUACUCUCCGACUAGUAGUUGUUCAUAAUAAACUCAACACCGUGUCGAUUUCCAUUUCCCAAUUAAGGACCUACCAAAGGUAGUCCAGCUUGUGCGCCUAAGUGUUGUGGUAGCCCAACAUCCCUACUCUUGGGAUGUGUCUGUCCCACUCGACCCCGUAGGCUUCUCAAUACGCACGAGGAACACGGUCGCGUAGGCUAAACUCCGGAGUGCCGCUUGUAGGGAGGCGACCCUCACAAGCAUGUGGCGAAUGAGCACAAAUGGCAAACAAGCAAGGUCACUGUCUCAAAUACUCUAUCCGCAUGUCUCUAACAGGCAAGGUCACUAGCAUUCAAGGAUCUGCCCAAUGUCUCUAAGUGAUGUCCAACACUCACUUUGCUAGUGCCACUUUAUGACACUUAGCAUCACACUGAUCAAGCUCGAUUCUUGUUCUAUGUUUCAUUUAAACAUUAAUACUAAUGACUAAUAACCCGAGCCCAAUGCCUCUUUAUGAAUUGGCCCAAUUCUCAAAUAGUCCAAGUUCUCAAGCCUCCUCUAGGCUUCUAAAAUUCUAAUGUCCCAAUUGGCAUAUAGGUUAAAUGCAAGAGAGCAAGAUCCGUUUUCAUAAUAGGGAUCAUAGUUCCUAAUCAUAACUAGAAUGCUAAGUCUCACAUGCAUGCACUCUACCACAUAGGGGUCUAAAAUUUACUAUACAUAAUAUAUGCAUAUUAGCAUUCUAAAAUUCAUAAUUAAAUAUAUUUAACAUGGAAAUGCAUGAAUUUCAAUUUUACGAAACAUAUUUGCCAAAUAUGAGCAUUUCUCAUAUCUAGGCUAGGUCAAACCCACCGAACCGUCGCGUGCUCCUUCGAUUCGCCGAACGGAGUUGUCCACGAGUCUCAAAGUAUCCUAAAAGUAAUCAGCGAAAGAUACGAGAGUAUUACGACCAACCAAGAGAUCAAACAUUAACCUAGAAGUAAAAAGGGCCAAAUUCACCUCAAGAGAAGAAUCUCUUCCAAAGCUCCAAAAGAGAGCUAGAACCCUUCCAAUCCAAGCCAAGGAAGGUUCUAAACCAAUCAAUCUAGCCCCAAAAGCCCUAGAUCAAAAAGCCCCAAAAUCAACCCUAAUACCCAUUCUAGGGUUUCAAAUGUGCAAAAUCUACCGACAAGAAUCAAAGGGUAGAAUCAAAAUACUAACCUCUCUAGAUGCCUCAAAACAAGCUCCAAAUCUUCUAGGGUUGAAGAUUGGGUCCACCACCAAGCCCUACAAGCCAAGCCCCAGCCUUGCCAAAGUGGGAAAGAGAGAAAGGGGUUGAGCUCCAAGCUCUCAAGCUAGCUCCUCUUCUUCUUCUCCUCUUCUUCUCCUUCUCUCUCUAGAAAGUGUAGGAAGAGGGUGAGAAUGAGAGAAUGAGAGAGGGAAGAGGAGGAAAUGGCUAAUAAGCCCAUCUAGUGUAACAAAAUCCGGAGAGGCCCCUCAAAAACCCGAUAUUGCAACAGCCCGAACUGGGCAGUUUUCGCCCAGAGGGACCGGUCUCUCCCCAGCAGGGACCGGUCUCUCGCUGCGAACCCGAAAAUCCAUCGUUCGGGAACCGGUCUCUCCCUGUGCGGGACCGGUCUCUCACUGCGUAGAUGCGCUCGGGGACCGGUCUCGCCCGCCAGGGACCGGUUGCCUCAGGACUACCGCAACACUGUUCACUGGGGGACCGGUCUCUCCUUCCAGGGACCGGUCUCCGAGAGUAAAAACUCUUAGGACUUGUCCAAAAUUUCAGUUUUCGAACUUUUUAGGUUGGAAAACAUUCUACGACCCUCCACCAAGUGUGGAAAAGCUCGAAACACAUCCAAACACUCGAACCUCGCAAUUUGCAAAGGUCCAGUGUGUUACAGAUAACAUAACUACAUGACUUUGACAUGUGAAAUUAAUGAUACUUAGCAUAGUUGCUUGUUGAUAUAUACUUGUAUAGACAAGGUAAAUUUGACAUUGGGGCAUAAGUGCAUGUUCGGGUCUACAUGAAGCUAGGUUUGAUAAAUCUAAUCUAGUUGAACAACUAGUAUAUGAUAUAGUGAUAUUGCAUACGAUCUAGAGAUCGGUAAUUGCAUUCCAUGUAGUAGACAUGAGGAUAAUGAUUGGGACGCCCUUGGGCGAAUGACAAGAUGGAUAUUUGCAUGUGGCAUUGAUUAAAUGAAAUCACUUGCAUGAUAACUUACUACUCCAUGUAGUGGAGGCCUUAUUGGUAAUGUAAAUGCAUGACAUGCAUCGUGGGCAUUGUAAAUACCUAUGCAUAUGGCAUAAGAAAGUGAUUUUUUCCUAACUAUUGCGAAAUAGUAUAUGUGUGAGCUCUCAUGGAGAAUUGAACCUUAGUGCAUUACCCUAGAUAGGAUAAUGACAAGAGUUAUGUGCUUAUGAACUAUUGACUUUUACUUAAUAUAGUAAACCAUAAUGUCGUAAAGUGGCAUUGGACUUAGUAAACGGUUAAACUUUUACACAAUGAUAUAGAACUAAACCUUUGGAUUGGUAGUAUUUAUUCCAUGUUGGAGACAUGACGACCGUGUACUUGAGAUGUUGAUCACGCUUGCAUGCCAUUUGUGCUCAUUCGCACAUACUUGUGAGGGUCGCUCUCCACAAGCCGGCACUCCGGAGUUAGCCUAUGCGACAUAUGCCUACUGGGCCCGCGUGGGAUAGACUCAUUCCUAGAGUAGAAAUGUUGGAGCUACCACGGGCAUUUAGGCGACACAAGUCAGACUACACUUGUGUAGGUACUGGGCCCGCGUGGGAUAGACUCAUUCCUAGAGUGGGAAUGUUGGUGCUACCACGGGCAAUUAGACGGCACAAGCCGGACUACACUAGUGUAGGUCCUUAAUUGGAAAUUGAAAAAUGACACCUAAAAUGUAAUGUGUAAACUACUACUAGAUGGUGCAUAUUAGUUGGACUAGUGGACAUGCAUGAUAAUGCAUAUUGUGGACCUUAUGUUAGUCACUCAUAGCAUUGACACUCUAGUGGUAGUAUGUUUACAUCUACAUCGAUUGUACGUAUGCAUGGCUAGAAUAACAAUGGAAAGCCUAUUUUCUCUAUGAAGCAUCGUGGACAUAUUGAUUAUACAUGUGAAUUAACAUUGGCAUAUAGUUGAACAAUGAAUUUAGAACAUCAUAUAUUUGAUAGUUAAUCCUGUAGUGGACGCAUGACUAUGAUUGAACAUGUUUAAUUUACUCGCUUUUCAUAUAUUGCUUAAUUAUCACCUUAUAACAUGCCUAUGUUAGCCUAGUGGUGUAUUUCGCUGAGGUCGGUGACUUGCCCACUGGAAACUAUUGUUUAAUAGUUCUCACACCCUCUGUUUUGUUGUUUGUUUAAGAGCCAUCCGCAUCAGGAGUGACUAGGGAUCGUGGCAAGGUGUUAGCGACUAGCUAGAGCCCCUGCGGAGUUAUUUUAGAGGGACCCGACAUCAUCUUUCUUUUUGUACUUUGUGGAAAGAUAUAUUAUGCUUUUUUGGUUUAGAGAUUAUGUUAGACUUUUGGAUUUAGUUGUAUACUUUUGUAUAUCUUGUGGAUCUCUUUGUGAUAGAGUACUAGUGAUUUUAUAUUACUCGCUCUGAUAGCUUUGUUAGGACUUUACUGUGUUCAUCUCUGGUUUUGGUAGACGCCUUGUGUGCACUUUGAUUGUUUGGUGUACACGGCGGGUCUGUACACGCGCCGGGCGGGCUUCCGUUGGGUCCCGGGGCGUGACAUUUGGCCACCAAAAGCUCUACCGACCCGAAUCUCUAGCGGAUAGCAGUCAGAUUUUGAUUUCCACUUUUCAGGUGUUAGAAUGACAUGAAACUUUAAAUCCAGCCUCAUAAAAAUAAUUUCGACAUAUUAUCAAAUUUUUAUAAUUUUCUGACACUGUGAAUUUUCUGCUAAAAGAUCAGCUCUCAUUUCUUACAGAAAAUUCUAAAUUUUUUGUUUCCAUUCCAAUUUCAGCACAAAUCAUUUCCGACUUAUAUUUUACUUAUUUAAGUCCAAUAAAAAUAGUACCUUACACUAUUUUUAUUUAUGCUUAAUUUUAUAUUAAAAAUUCGAUACAUUACAUUCAACCCCCCUUAAAAAAAGUUUCGUCCGCGAAACUUAAAUUCAUACCUCAACUUGACAGAUCAAGAGAUGAGGAUAUCAUCAAAUCUCUCAUUCCUAGGCACCCCACGAUCUUCGUGAUUGCCCUGCAAAACUUUAAUGCAUGAAACACGGUUUCACAAUUCUUUCUCUUCACGAGUAAAGAUGCCUACCAGAAAUUCCUUGUACAUCGCAUCUUUGUAUCACUCAGGUAGCUCAUACGCCUUUGCUUAAUCAGCAAUCGCCUACAUACGAUCCUUAUCGGGCCCAUGUCGUCACCAUUCACGGACUUUCAGCUCUACAGCGAGAUGGCACAUUCAGCAUAUCCUCAAAUUCCAACUCACCUGAGAGCAUAGUCCCCAAACCCUCACGUGGCUUUCCACUAGCUCAUAGUCUCAUAAAGAGCACUUCACUUAACUUUCAUCUGCCACGGUCAUCAUCACAUCAUUCUCACGACGAGUCCACAUGAAUACUCCAUUCAUGACUCAAAGCCAAACUCCUCAAUAGGGCUAUCCACCAAAGGCCUCCAACCCUACGUAGAUCUACCGCCUAAACCUGUAUCAAUACGCGCAACGUCUCUCGCUUGCAAGCGUAGACCCAAUCAUCACUGGGCAAAAUUCUCACUUGGGAAUUCGCACACACUCCAACCAGGAGCAACUAAGACCCCAAACCACUACAAUUCCUCGGGUUGAGUCACAACCACACUCUCGGCGAAUCAUCGAUCACACACAGCUGACUGCGCCUGUCCAAAAAGCCCCAGGCUCCACAGUCCACAAUGGUCCAGGCACGGAUCGUCCUUAAGCAAUACCCGCCAACGUCGUGCCACACAACAUGCUCUACCGAGCAACACGUAUCUCUAUCGGCUCCUAAGCACCUAGUGCGAGCCACCAGCCCUACAAGUGAUCCCUGGCACACUUCACACCUAGCAAUGCUCAAGUGCUACUGCCAACACACUCUCACAGCUGAUCCACAUCCGCACUCCAUGAGUACCUACACUCGAGCGUCGUACACUUUCUAUACCAUUCCACACUAAGUCUAGCAUUAGGCAAUCAUGCCUAUGCACAUCGACUACGUAAGCACAAUACCCUACCUCAGGUCGAGGUACCACUAGGCCCACAUGUCUAAACUCGGCGACUAACCGACUACUCUCUCAACAGUGAUCUUACCAUCACUGUUCGAUCCGCCAGGACAACGUCCAUACUCAACUCUCGCAGUCAGCUACACAUAUUGCUUUGCGAGUUGGUCCGUCAUUUCCAUCUCUACCACGAGUCUCAUUUCUCAUCCAUAGACUAUAACCAGCAAUUCGCUAGUGCCAUCUAGCUUUCUACCUGCUCCAGCAGGUGCUACGCUCCCACAACACGAGCAUGCCGGGGUAUCCAUACUUACCCAUCCAUAUGGUCCCCACUAUACUUAUAUAUAAAUAGUAGCAAUUGACCAUAUGAUAAAUGCAUGCAAUGCACCAACUUUACUUUCCUCAAUUAAAUCAUACCUGCUAUGAUAUCGUCAGCGACAGUAGGCUCCUCAUCCAGGGUCGCGUAUUCGUGGCCACUUAGCGCCCGCCGCGAACCCUCCGGUUGCCACGUCCUCAAUGCUCGCUCUCUGGACCGUGCCACAGGUGGCACACCCGCAGGCUAUCCCGGAGAGGAAAAGGUCGUCGCCAGUGUCAGGGUCCGACUAUCACCUUGCGAACACUCGUAAUUCAGGUGACACGAUUGCCCACAUCGAGUGCAUCUUCCUUCCCGCGGCACGCAACGUCGUGCCCAAUGGGAAUCACCACAAAUCACUCAUCUUGGGGAGGAUCGGGUAGAGGAUGACUUCGGGUGUCGCUUGAAACUCGAUUGACCACCCGAACUGCUCGACAGUGGCCUCACCCCUCACUGCUCACAUUCAUAAGAUUCGCGCUCCUCCCGCACGAAAACCUUGCUUUGUUCCACCCACAAGGCCCGAUCCAAGACUUCAGCAAAAGCUUGCAACUUAAGAUUAUGCACAGCUUCGAAAAUGUGCGGCCGUAGUCCCCGUACAAACCAAUCGGCCAUAUCCUUGUCAUCACGCACCACAUACGGGACACAGUUCACGAUACGAGAGAAUUUUCGCUCGUACGGUCUCCUUGCCGCAGCUUCCUGAACCUCUCCUGAAGCUUUCUCUUUUCACUAUCGGAGAAAUAAGCCGAAAAUAUCAAUCCCCAAAACUCUGCCCAAGUCGUAGGAGGGAGAUUAGGCGAUCGGUUUUGCCUAACGCCUUUCCACCAUACAUUCACCGAUUGUUUCAAACAAUGCACGACUAGGUGCACCUUGUCCUACUCCAAGGUGUAUAGAUCUUCAAAAAGAGUUUUCAUGGAGUCGAUCCACAUCUCCACGAUCUACGGAUCUACAUCCUCUCCAUCAAAGAUAGGCGGAUCAAACUUCUUAAAGGUCAUGAGGGCCACCAAAGCUCGCUCCCUCUCCGCCUCCACCUCUGUACCAUCGGGAGUCGGAUUGCCCGACACCGACGGAAAGGUCUCCGCCGCAACUCCCGGCCGUACUCGACGAGCCGCAACUGGUGCGGUCACCAGCUGAUCCAUCAUUUCUUGGAGUCUGUUAAUUCGCUCCUCCUGGCGCAUGGCUGCCUCCUGCUGACGCUGCACAACAUCGGCUUGUUGCCUCAUCACUCCCACGAGUGUGGCCAACUGAUCGUGAAGUUCCAAGUCUCCGCUCGCCUCAGACUGCUUAGGGACAUCACUUGUCCCAACCCACGCCGAUCUGGUUGAAGAUCGCCUAUGCGGCGCCAUCGUUUCCUAAAACAUGACAACUCGGUCAAUCCUCGAGCCGCUAGGUCGAGCACGAAAUAAUUAACCCAGACUUAAAUCAGGCGAAAGUCAUACAAGGGAGCCUAUUCUCAUCACUGUCACGCCCCGAGACCCGCCAAUUUAGUUGGAUUCAAGCGCGCCGACAGACUGUCGAACGGCCAGAGUUUCCCCUGCACGUCCAAGGCGUCACAAUCCAUACAAUUCGCGAGGUUCCAACCAGGAACAAUAUUCAUACACAGAUUGCAUAAGGAAGGUAUCGCAAACAUAAAUACUAAGCUAUUACAAGCAUUCGUCUCAAUUUUUAUAUUUAUAUUACAUUCAACUUCCAAAUACAAUCAAUUUACUACAACUUAUUUCUUUCUGUUCUACACCCCUAGUUAGGCCGACUUGGGGUACUGCUAUCUUUCGUCACGAUGGUAGGGCGCUAUCUACGGAGCUACGCCCAUUCCCUGAGUAGCCGCGCUCGCGUGUGGACCUGAAAACCCCGAAAAAUGAGGGUAAGAAUUAUUGUCCAUAGUUCCCAGUAGGUACGGCCACUCAAGGGAAGAGCUCGACCCACCAGGUCCAAAGGAGGCGCUACAAACAUAUUAGCUCAACAGAUAUCCACAAAUAACUUAUGCAAGUAUUAAAUACAUGCGUAUGCCUCACAACAUGCAAUAUGCAAUUCAUGCAAGUAGAUCUACUGAUUCUACUUUCUAUCUCGCUAUCCACAGCUCACGCAACUAGUUUCUAAGGUUUCCUCUACCUCAGAUAUAUAUCAUAUAGCAUUCUAUAUCAGUGGCCAUUCUCUAUCACUUGCCACUUUCACCUAAGGUUUCCUCUAUCUUAGCCAACUAUGCCACUCGACUAGGUCUUGAGUGAAUCAUCGCGGAGAAACGCGCUCAAUCAGGCUCGAGGUAAAGAACGUCUCACAUGCACCUCAGUCUUAAAUUCUUUCGACUAUAGGUCUACCACAGGGUAAGGAGAACCGUCGACCCCGGACCACCAGUCGCUCAAGCUAAACGGGCGAGGAGAACCAACAUACCCAUUUCCACAAAGCUCAUACCGGGUGAGGAGAACCAACAUACCCGUUGAAUCACUGCCGGGCGAGGAGAACCAACAUACCCGCAGUUAUGAUUCACUUGCACUCAGUCGCAAGUCUCAUCCGCUGCACUCGCAGCCGCUGUACUCACAGCCGCUGCAUUCGCAGCCUGAAUUCCUAAGAAUUUCGGAAUCCACUUUCCACAUCUCAAGGGUUAGCCUCAUACCCUAUAAUGUCGACAUCUCUAGGUUCGACUCAUGCACAUCCUAGUGGCCCUUCUACCACUAUAGUUCAAAACCUAGGUUCAACAUCGCUAGGUGUCACUACAUGUCAUAACCUAGGUUCAACCACGCUAGGUUCUACGUCAUUUCCACCUAGAUUUCGACUCUAGGUUCACUAUUCAACCUAUGUUCAAUGACACUAGGUUCAAUGCCAAUCAAUCUACUUGUUAUCCUAGUUGUCCACUCCUAGGAUUCGUAGUUUACAUAUUCUUGUUUUCCAAUUGUCGAGUUCUUUUAUCAACUUAGAGUUAUCGACCCAAGUUCACAUUCAUAUGAAUCUAGCAUAUUCUCACAAUAUGUCAACAUGCAUAUGUCCUCUAGCAUCUCAUGCACAUGCCGAUAUCAUCAUCGUCAUCCAAUGAUAGGUAAUAUCAUCUAGCAUAAUAUGAUUCAUGCAUUCAUAUUAUCAUAUACAACCUAUCAUAAUAUACAUGCAUCAACAAUAAACCAUACUUCACUUUGGCAUGAAAGUGACAUAAUCACUUCGGUGAAGCACAACCCACCUCGUAUCGACGUCAAGAAGUGAGAAACCAAGUCCCGCAAUUUACCGUUGUCGUUUUAGCUCGACCCAAGCCUAACGAACCAAAUUCCGCAAAUCUCUUAAUCGGACGCCGUAAUCUCGUUGUAAUCCAAAACGAAGUUGUCCUCCGCAUCGAAUUAUCCUUCAAUUAAGGUUUUACAAGAUUAAUUUGAUUCAAAACCUCUUAGAGACAAGAGCCCCAUUUUCUAAGCCUAGGGUUCAAGUUCUACGAGAAUACUCCAAAUUUCAUGAUUAAAUCUUAACCAAUCUAGUUUAGAAUCAUCUAGAGGUCCUAAAUACCUCAUUACCAAAGAUUUAAUCCAAACCCUAGCUUAAAUCACAAAACUCACUAUGGCCACCUUGGAAAGAAGCUUGAUCCACCAAUGGAGAGCUUGCUUCACCACCAAGCUUCUUCUCCAAGCUAUUUCUAAGCUUAAUCUCCAAUCUUUCCUCCAAAUAAUUCUUUUUGGUGGAGAGCUUACAAGAGAGGGAGAGAGAGAUGUGAGCUUGGAGACAAAGAGAGAAAGAGAGAAAGAGAGAAAGAGAGAAGACUUACUUUCCCUCUCUCUCGGGUUGGACCAGGACAAAGGGGAGAAGGCAAUUGUUACACACAUAGGCCCCCAACAAUUGCAGCUUACAAUUUAGUCCAGUUCAGAAUCUGAUACUUUUUGUCGAAGUCCUUCUGAAUGUCCGUUUGCUCUCAAAUUUGACAGUCGGGCUCGAUUAAAAUUAAUAAGAAGAACGAAAUCUUAAUAUUUCAGUUUGGACCAUUUUUGGUCACCGAAACCUCUGCCGACCCGAAUCUCUAGCGGAUAGCAAUCAAAUUUUGUUUUCCAUUUUUCAGGUGUCAGAAUGACAUGAAACUUUAAAUCUAACCUCAUAAAAAUAAUUUCGACAUAUUCUCAAAUUUUCAUAAUUUUCUGAUACUGUGAAUUUUCUGCUAAAAGAUCAGUCUCGUUUCUUACAGAAAAUUCUAAAUUUUAUGUUUCCAUUCUAAUUUCAUCACAAGCCAUUUUUGACUUAUAUUUUACUUAUUUAAGUCCAAUAAAAAUAGUAUCUUUCACUAUUUUUAUUUAUGCUUAAUUUUAUAUUAAAAAUCUGGUACAUUACAGAAAAGGUAGAAACCUAGUUUAAAUCACCUGCAUAUGUGGGGAUGUCCAGCUGAGGUGAGGGUUUAUAAUCCACACAUAAAGAAGUUGGACCAUCGAACAGUCAGUGGAUAUUUCAUUAGCUAUGCAGUAAAUUUCAAAGGAUUCAGGUUUUAUUGUCCAAAUCACCCAUCCAAGACAGUUGAGACCAGGAAUGCCAAAUUUUCUUGAGGAUUCUGAAGCUAGUGGGAGUGUUGUUGUCACGCCCCGAGACCCGCCUAUUUUGUAGAAUUUGGGCUCGCUAACAGACCGCCAAACAGACAGAGUCGCAAUCCAUACAAAGCGCUAGGUUUCAACCAGAAACAAAUUUCAAGCAGAUAUUGCAUAAGAAAGUAUCAAAAACAUAAAACAACUAAGCUAUUACAAGCAUUCACAUCACAUGCUUUUUACAUAUUACAUUUUUAUUUUCUUUUCUUCCAAAUACAAUCAAGAUUACACAAAUAAUGCUUUCCUUCUUUUUCUACACCCCUAGGUAGGCUGACUCGGGGCACUGCUAUCUCUGGUCUCAGUGGUAGGGCGCUAUCUGCGAAUCUACGCCCUUUCCUUGCACCGCAGCGCCGCUCGCGUUUGAACCUGAAACCCCAAAACCACGUGGGGUGAGAACUAUUGUCCAUAGUUCUCAUUGGGUACGGCUAUCCAAGGGAAGAGCUCGACCCACCAGGUCCGAAGAAGGCACUGCAACAUGUUAGUCCAAUAGAUAUCUAACAGAUAUAUAUGCAAGUAUUAAAAUACAUGUUAUGCCUCUCAACAUGCAACAAUGCAAAUCAUGCAAUAAGCUAAGUAGAUCGACCGAUUCUACUUUCAAUCCGGCUAUUCAUAGCUCAUCCAAUUGACUUCUAAGUUUUCCUCUAUCUUAGAUUCAUAUCAAUUAUAACUCUGCUCAUAAGGUUUCACCUACCUUUAUCAUUCAUUUGCUUACAAGGUUUCUACUACCUUUAUCAUUUGCUCACAAGGUUUCUACUACCUUUAUCAUGCUAUCCACCCGACUCGGCCUCGAGUCAAUCCGCCGUGGAAUACUGCGUAUAGUCAAGCUCGAGAUGAAGGACGUCUCACUUGCACCUCAGCCUUAAAUCCACUCAACUGGGAUACCAAAUCCACUCUGCUGGGAUUCAUAUGCUUGCCACCCAAUCUAACUGGCUAACACGAAGGUUACGCCCCGACUCACAUCUCAAAAUCUCAUGGGUGAGGAGAAUCUGCACUCGCACACCGAGAAUGCCUGCGGGACAACUACGUCUGCCCCUAGUGUGGUAACUCCGGAGCUCACUGCUUGGGUGGAGCGACCACCGCCAAGCUCAAAACAGACUAUGUGAGUAUGAUCCAAUCCUCCCUACUCGAGGAUACCCUAUCUACCAGUGUUAUAGUGCUUCCGCCGCACUAUUUCCAAUAGCCACAAAUCGACAACUCGGGAAAUCUGCUAUCCCUGUGUUCAUGUCAUAGUAUUUCUACUACACUAAUUUCUAAAACAUGUCAUAGUGUCUCUACUACACUAGUUCCAAAUACCACUCGAUCUACUUGACAAUCUACUUGUCCACAUCGAGUAUUAUAGUUUUCAUGUCCUUGUUUUCCAAUGUCAAUUCUCUAAUCCACCUAGAGUUAUUGACCCAAGUUCAACAUGCAUAAUUCUUCUAACAUAAUCCAUAUAUGUCGACAUGCAUAGUUCAUCUAGCAUCUCAAGAUAUGCCAACAUGCAUAUUUAUCUAACAUAAUCCAUAUAUGUCAACAUGCAUAUUUAUCAUUUAGCAUCUUAUGAUAUGUCAAUAUGCAUAUAUUUUCAUCAUCCAAUGGUAGUCAUUACAUAGAAAUCAUCUCAUGCAUCCACCUAGCAUUUAUUUCAUGCAUUUAUCUACCAUUUAGUAUUUAUAUCAUGCAUUCAUCUAGCAUUCAUAUUAUGCAUUCAUCUAGCAUCUCAUAUCAUGCAUUCAUCUAGCAUUUUUAUGUUCUACAAUUAACUACCAUUAUAUGUAUCAAUAACAAAACCGCAUUCCACUUCGACAUGGAAGCGAGCUAAUAUCUUCGGUGAGCACAACCCACCUCGCAACGCUAUCUGAUUGCUUGUAGUCACUUGCAAUCGGCCUCCCGCGGCACGCGCUAUCCGGUUCGGCCCGAACUCACAAUCGGCAACCAAACACACGUCGAUUCUCAACUUUGAGUCAUCAAGCAUCCUUCUCUAACCUUCAAUUAGAGGAUUAAAGGGUUAAAUGAGAUCAAAACCCUCAUUUGCUACAAAACCCCAUUCUAAACCUAGCAUGAGCAUAUUCUCCAAAUAACCCAAUAUUCAUGAAGAAAACAUGCUAGAAACAUUCUAAGGGCUAUUAGAACACUAAGCAUUAAGGAUUAAGCCAAAUCCCAAAAGCUUACCAAAAUGUGAACGCCGAGACGGAAGCACGCCGCUCAACCGGGCGCACGAAGGCCCGAUCCGACGCUCCCAACGCGUUCCCAAGCUCGCUCUCCGCCAACGCCGCGAAUUUGAAAGAGAGAUCUAGAGAGAAGAAAGAGUAUCUAGAGAGUGAAAGGAGAGUUUCUCUCACUAGCACCCAAGAGUGUGCGUGUGAUGAUGCUCGGCUGAGGGAGGGGAAGAAGAAAGACUUCUAUUACACAAAUAGCCCCUCAAAAUACUAUUACAACCAGCAGUUUAGCUUUCAAAAUCUAAUACUUUUCUCCGGAGCCCUUCUGAAUGUCCGUUUGCGCUCAAAUUUGACAGUCAGGCUCGGUUUAACUUAAUAAGAACAAAGAAAUUUUAAUCUUUCAGUUCCGACCAUUUUUAGUCCCCGAAAGCUCUACCCAAUUGAAAUCUCUAGCAGAUGGCAGUCAGAUUUUAUUUUCUACUUUCUGAGUGUCAGCAUGACAUGAAACUUUAAAUCUAGCCUCAUAAGAAUAAUCCCGACAUAUCCCAGAUUUUCAUAAUUUUUUGACACUAUGAAUUUUCUACUAAAAUAUCAGUCCCAUUUCUCACAGAAAAUUCUAAAUCUUUUAUUUCCGUUCCGAUUUCAACACGAGUCAUUCCAAACUUAUAUUUUACUUCUUUAAGUCCAAUAAAAAUAGUAUCUCACACUAUUUUUAUUUAUACUUACUUUUAUAUUAAAUUUUGGUACAUUACAGUUGUUCCUCAAAAGAUGGAUUUGGAAAAAAUAAGGGAUUCAACUGGUUAUCCAUCAACAGAUAAUAAUCAGGUUGCUCUUCUAGGAGGUCAAUUUGACCAUAAUGGAGAUCAACUAAUCUUGGAGUAUGAAAAUGCUGAAUUAGUUGAACCUCCCCAUGAAGAGCUGUCCCAAGAGGAACAGAUAAUUAUAAAGCCAGCUACACAGAAUAAUGAAAAUUUGUAUGAAGAGGUUGGCUUAAGAAGAUCCUCAAGACAAAGGAGAUCGACAAUUCCUGGUGAUUAUGUAGUCGAUCUUCAGGAGUCUGACUUUAAUGUCGGACACCAUAAAGACCCAUAGACGUUUUCAGAAGCCAUGCAGGGAGAUAAAUCCUCCCUAUGGUAUGAUGCCAUAAAGGAAAAAAUGAAAUCUAUGGCGGAUAACAAAAUUUGAGAUAUCGUUGAGUUACCACAAGAAGUCAGAGCCAUUGGUUGUAAAUGGGUCUUUAAGACAAAAAGGGACUCUUUAGGUAAUAUAGAACGAUAUAAGGCCAGACUUGUUGCCAAAGGUUUCACUCAAAAGGAAGGCAUUGAUUAUCAUGAAGCCUUCUCUCCGGUGUCAAAGAAGGAUUCAUUAAGAAUUAUCAUGGCUUUGGUAGCUCAUUUCGAUUUGGAGUUACAUCAGAUGGAUGUGAAAAUGGCAUUUCUAAAUGAGGAUAUAGAUGAGAUAGUCUAUAUGCAACAGCCCGAAGGUUUUAGCACAGAUAAAAAUAAUCACCUUAUUUGCAAACUAAAGAAAUCUAUAUACGGAUUUAAACAGGCUUCCCGUCAGUGGUAUAUCAAGUUCCAUACUGUAAUUACUACAUUUGGUUUCGUAGAAAAUAUUGUGGACUAGUGCAUAUACCGUAAGGUUAGUGGGAGUAAAUAUAUUUUCUUAGUUCUGUAUGUAGAUGACAUUCUUCUUGUAAGUAGUGAUUUGAGUUUGCUUAAAGAGACCAAAAAUUUUCUUUCUAAGAACUUUGAGAAGAAGGAUAUAGGUGAAGCUUCUUAUGUCAUUGGCAUAAAGAUUCAUAGAAAUAGAUCUCAAAGGAUUUUGGAUCUAUCUCAGAAAGCCUAUAUCGAAAGAGUUCUAGAAAGAUUUAAUAUGGCAAAUUGUGCACCUACAGCUGCGCCUAUUAUAAAAUGUGACAAAUUCAAUCAGAAACAGUGUCCUCAGAAUGACUUAAAAUGAGAGCAUAUGAAGAGCAUACCCUAUGCUUCUGCGGUAGGGAGCUUGAUGUAUGCUCAUGUCUGUACCAAACCUGAUAUAGCUCAUACAGUGGGGAUGUUGGGUAGAUACCAAAGCAACCCUGGCAUUGAUCAUUGGAAAGCUGCAAAGAAUGUUAUGAGAUAUUUACAAGGAACAAAGGAUUAUAUGCUCACCUACAGACAUUCUGACUAUCUUAAGGUGGUUGGAUAUUCGGACUCUGAUUUUGCUGGAUGCGUGGAUUCUAGAAAGUCCACAUCAGGAUAUAUUUUCUUAUUUGCUCAAGGUGCUAUAUCUUGGAGGAGCACUAAGCAAGAUACAGUUACUACAUCCACUAUAGAGGUAGAGUUCAUCGCUUGCUAUGAGACUUCCUCACAAGCUUUAUGGCUGAGAAAUUUUAUCUCAGGUUUAAGAGUUGUCGACUCUAUCUCAAGGCCAAUUAAGAUUUAUUGCGACAACUCUGCUGCAGUGUUCUUUGCCAAGAAUGGUCGAAUUAUAGGUUGCAGCAAACAUAUCGAUAUAAAGUAUUUUGCUGUGAAAGAAUACGACAAGAAGAAGGUAGAUAUCCAACACAUUGGGACCGAGAUGAUGAUUGCUAAUCCUAUGACUAAAGCAUAGCCGGCAAACAAAAUCAAUGAUCAUAUUUAUCAUAUUGAUAUCCUGAGUCCAUUUACAGUUUAAGUGUUUUCUUCUUUUAUAAAGAAUUUAAAGAUUAUUUUUAUUUGAAUAAGAACACAUUUUGGUUUUGCACAUAUUCGCAUAAAGUUAUUUUUUGUAAAUUAAAGUAUUAUUGUGCACUAAAGAGGGACUCUGAGUUGAACUUAUAAUAAGUUCAUACGGUUGUAACUCAUAAAGUUAUUUGAUUAAGGAAUAUGUGCUUUUGAUACAUGGAAUGAAGUGUUCAUCUUUUUGGGGCAUAACCGCUAUGAUCAAAGUAUUGUGAUUUCUUGGUCGAAUGGGAGAUUUUGACUAUACAAUUUUGUUUGUACCUAAUAAAGUUUUUGUAUCUCCUAUAUGGUAAUGAAUAUAUCACUAGGCCAAGUGGAAGAAUGUUGGAUGUGGUCCACGUGAUUUAUUCAAAGCGAUCUAUAAAGAUACAGUCGGUUUAUUCAAGUCGAUCUAUAAAGAUAUGGUAGAUCUCACGGUUAGGAUGUAUCUGGACACGUCCUUGAUGGACGGACGUGAUUUAACAUCCUUAUAUUAAGUUAUAUAUAAAUAUGUAACAUACGGGAGUCCCGGUCUAACCCUAAUCCAAUUAUCUGUGACGGCUCGAUCUCCGGGGAUAAAAGAAUUAGACUCGAAAUGUCCCGUUUUCUUGCAGAUCGCGAAUAAGGACGAACCACGAACAAAAGUCGCCGCUUAAAAAUUGGAUACAAAAAUCAAAAUCAUGGCAGAAGAUACGAUCAUAGUUUUUAAUAAAGUUUCAACAAGGAACAGUUGGUAUUUCUGUGUGUGUGUUGAUACACCUUAAUAGUCCCUUUGGUAAAUGCCAUGUCAACUAGCUACUAGUGUAAAGGGAUGCACAUGCAUAUGUAUCUUCUUUUCUUACCUAAAGUUUCUUGCAUUGAAUUGUUCCCUCUCUAACAAAAUUCUUUCUUUAAUCUCUUGCCACAGGUUGGAAGCUAUCUCGGAUACACAUAUAAAAUUCUCACUAGAGCCAAAAAGGAAGAAGAAAAUGGGACGAGUAAAUUAUGUUUGGAUUGUUGAAAAAGGAAAAAAAUUUUACACGAAAAAAUUUCGCCGGUCAUAAUAAUAUUUUCCUUCAAGCGUUUACUGUUUACUUAAUUUAUAGUCAAUCUGGAGUAGAAGUGGCAAUCCAUUGUUUGCUAGCCAAUUCGUGUUCGGCUCGAAAUGAGCUCGUGUUUGAAUCGAAUUGCUCGUUUACUAAAUGAGUCAAAUACGAACUGUAUUUUUCAGCUCGUUUAAUAAACGAGCCGAACAGGAGGUAGGGUCAGCUUGCUCGUGUUUAGCCCGAAUACAUAUAUUUUAUAUUUUUAUAUAUAAAUAAAUAAUUAUAUCUAUAAUAUAGAUUUUUAUUAUUUAUUUUUUUAGCUCAACCUAAAUAUAAAGCUCAUCUUAAUUAUAAAAAAAAACUCAUUUAUAUGUAAAGUUUCUACCAUUAAAUUAAAAUCUAAUAGAUAAGAUCUCAUAAAUUUAUUUUCUAUAUAUAUAUUUUUUAAUCCUUCUAACUUGUUAUUCAUGAGCCAGCUCGUGUUCAACUUGUCAAAAAAAAAAGCUGAACACGAGCUAAAUUUUUCGAUUCAAUACUUUAACGAACCGGCUCAUGUUGAAACGAGCCGAACACGAGCCUGCCCUAGCUCGCUCUUGUAUGGCUCGUUGACACGCCUAAUCUGGAUAUAAUGUUUAGUCUGUUAAAAUCUAGUAAAUUUUGACUUGUGCACAAUGAUCGGAAAUACGAAUUAAUUUAUCUUAAUAUUUUGUUUUCCGACUAAUAUUUUGAGCUUUGUUAUACAUACCUCUUAACCUCGUUAACUCAAUCAAUUUAUUUAUCUCUCAAAAAAACUCAAUCAUUUUAUUUAUUUAGAGACGAGUGUUUUGAUCACAGCCGGCUUAAUUGGAGGUUAUCCAAAUAUAACAAAAAAAAUGCAUAAUUAAUCGGGUACUUAUGGGCGUCAGGAGUCUUUCACGAGCCUAAUCCAGUGGGAUUACAUAUUUCUCGCUAUAAAAACAAUGUGGUCGAGAAAACAGCAUACGAAGCGCGAACCUAAAAUUAUUUAAAUUGUUCUUUCUUUCAUUUUCCUUUCCGAAAUAAUGCAUCAGCUGUUGUUAUAAGGAAAAUCUAUUAGGAUGUUUAUUGAAAAGCUGUUAGUGCUAGCUCCCGCACAAGCUCGACAUGAGAUAGCACCAGCUAGUACAGAAGCUGCAGCAGAAGCAAAGAGGCUUGCAGGAUUUAUGUUUACAACCUCCAAGAUUUAUGUUUGAUCGAUUAUCUUUCGGAUAUUCGGUUGAUGAGUUUUGGAUCAAGAAAAUUUUUCAUAACAAGCAGUUGGCCAACAAUCCUGUGUCGAGAAAGAAAAAGCGAUUUGCCUGCACCUCAGAAAGUACAAGAAAUGAUUAGAGUGGCUGGUGCGUGUAUGUAUGUAUCUGGUGUUCUUUUUUCAUUGCGUCAAAUACAUGCAUGUCGGGCGAUCGCAACUGAAACCUCUCAUUCACGGCAACUUUGGUGCAAGAAACAGCAUUCGGUUGUGUUUUUCAGAGUGUUCUUUGCAUCGGAUUCAUGCUAUUGUAUGAUCUUUCUGUAUUUUGUGCUAAGUUUAGGUAAACAUGCAUGGAGUCGCUGCAACUACAGACCAUUGUAAAAAUAGAUCCCUCAACUUCAUUUUUCUUUUUCGAUAGACGCCUUCUACGCUUUUAUUUAUUUUGUUCGAGUCAUUUUAGCUUAUUCAAUUGGGAUUUCGUUAAAAUUAAACUCUCUGGGAACUAAAUUCUACUAUUUCCAGACAUUUGAGUACUGAUUGAAGCAUCUCAAAAUCGACAACUUUAGUCUACAUUGCUUGAACUUUUGUUUGAAAAUAAUUUAAGCUAUCUAGAUCGAGGUUCAUACCUUUGACCUUAAAUUGAUGAAUCCUAUAAUUCAAUUUUAGAAUGUUGUUGAAGUUCAUUCUGCAGCUGCAUGAUGAACCAUAAAAUAAUCUUUAAAAUCAGAAAAUUUGGUUCACUUCCAAUACCAAAAAUCAUAUUUAUUACUAUAGAUUGUCAAUCCAGAUGUCCUAUCAUCAGAAAGAAACAACUCAAUGGGCUUGGUGGCAAUAUCAACCGUCCCUAGAGCAAGUGGCAAAGGGCUUGGUGGUUGGUACCCGAGGUCUCAAGUUCGAAUCCUAGUUGAUUCACAUUUCUAAUUAAGUUUAUUUCUUCUACCUAUCUCUCAAAAAAAAAAAAAAAAAAAAAAAAAAAAAAAAAAAACACAUUUGGCAAUGAUGGGUUGUAUUAGGCUUCAUUAAUACACUUGAGCCAGAAGUUAGGAAUUUGAAGCUAUUAAUGUAUACGGAUGCAAAUUUUGAAAUGCUUAUAUCCUUUUGGUUAUAAUCAUUUUAGAAAGGAGUGGUCAAAAUCAUAAGGACUAGGCAUUUUUAUUGCACAAGUUCUUUUUUUUUUCUUUAAUGCAAAUAAGGAAAAGUAGAGGAUGUUCAUACAUACAUUCAUUUGCCUCUAGUUAAGAACCGUGGCAUAGGGAGCGAAACUGCUUGUAGUUAAGAAGCCUCUCUCUUGCUGCACUCAGCUCAUUUGCAACUUUUGUCAUGUUAGAUCGUUCGUACAGCAAUUCGUUCGAGCACGAGAGACCGCAGUGAAACACCGAAACUAUGCAAUCUCGCACACACUCUUCUCGAUAAGCUAUAUCAUUAUCAGCUGAGCGCAGGUUUCUGUCUAUGAUGUCUAUGAGAUGUUCAGGAGAAGCAGCAGCAGCACGAACAUAUCCACGAAGGCUCAGACCAUCUUUGAACAUGUCGUCGACGGGGCUCAUUCCAGUAAACAUCUCCAGCAGAAGAAUUCCAAAGCUGUACACAUCGCCGAGCCUAGACGGUUUACAGCCCAUUCCAUAUUCUGCAUAACAUUAGUUAAUUGGAAACAGAGAAUAUAAGAUUGUCAGGUGAAUUCAUUUGGAUUUGGAUUUGGCUCCACUGUUUCCAAGCCAUAGUUACAAAAAAUAAAUUUGAUCUUAGGUUAUAAAUCGACUCUAGAAUAGCAUUAGAUAUGCAGAAGUAAAGGUCCAGCUCUUACGUGUUUAGUGAUCAUAAUUAAUCAGUUGUUAGUAGUAAGCAUCAAGCAGUUUAUUCUAACUCUAGUAUGUCGGUUUUUGUGGCUAAUAUGUAGAAUCCUUUUUAUUUCCUACAAUAUUUUUUUUAUUCUCCUAUUCUACUAAUGUUUACACUAAAUUUCUAAUUUUACUUAUUAAACUUUAUGCAAUUCAUUUGUUUUCGCUUCAAAAGAUAUUGAGCUAAAAAAAAUAGAACUAGACUGGAAUACUAUCAAUAGCACCAAGAUAUUGGUGCUAUUGAUUUGUUUUUUAUUUCUUAGAUUGAGAAACGUGCGAUUAGGAUGAUGUGGGUCUUCUAGGGUUGAGUGGGUGGUUGGUUGAAUAGUAUAAUCUAACGAAUAAAAAUGAUCAAAGUGUUAAAUCAAACGAUGAGAAACUCGAUAGCACAAAGCCCUUGUGCUAUUGAUAGUAUCCCAGCCGGACUCGCAAAAAAUAAUAGAUAUAGUAUAGUUACGAAUCAGAUAAAAAUUGUGUUGUCUUUUUUUUUCGUGAAAAGUUGUAAAGCACAAAAUAAUUUGGCAUUUUAUUGCAUAUUUCUCACCUGGAGGAACAUAACCAAUAGAUCCUUUGAUUCCCGCAGUGCCGGUAGAUGAACGCUCAGAUGAUUCGUCAGGCGGUUGCCGCAGAAACUUUGCUAACCCGAAAUCGCCCAAGUGCGCCGUCAUUUCAUUGUCCAAAAGGACGUUGCUGGGCUUAAGAUCACAGUGAACAAUCGGCACGGAUCCUUCGUGAUGAAGAUACUCUAAUGCCGAGGCUAUGUCGAUAGCUAUGUUCAACCUCUGGAUUAGGCUCAAGCUUCUGAAUGGCCUAUUCUGGCAUGCAUUUGAAUGUAGCCACUCUUCUAAGCUCCCAUUAGGCAUGUACUCAAAAACCAAGGCCUUGAAAUCAUUACCGUGGUGAUCCAAACUAGAGCACGAUGUUAGAAUUUUCACAAGAUUUCGAUGUCGAAUGCUUCUCAGGGCCUCACAUUCAGACAUAAAACUCCUGAAAGCCCCAUGCUGUUGAAGGUUAAGCACUUUCACCGCGACGAUGUCAGCAUUUUCAUAGUUCAUGGCGGCUUUAUAAACUGACCCAAAACUUCCCGUGCCGAUCAGAUUAUCUGAGGAGAACCCAUUUGUAGCCUUGAAGAGCUCAUCGUAAGAUAUUUUCAUGUGUCGGUUUCUUAAGGAAAACCCUGACAGCAGCUUUCUCUGUGACUUUUUUAUCAACUGAUGUAUCCGAAGCAAGCCCGUGAUUAUAAUCAAACACAAAAUUGCUCCACCUAUGGGAAUGACUAUUACCUUGAGUUUAUAAUCAGAGUGAUGUUUUGCUGCAAAGGCAUCCGAAGUGCAUUUCGGCAAGUGUAAUUCUGGAAUUCCGCCACAGAGUUUAGGGUUUCCGAUAAGUGAGACUUUGCUCGCAUUCUUAAAAACCCCUUUCAUCGGCACUCGACCCUCAAAACUGUUGAAUGAGAGAUUCAAGUAUUGUAGAUCCGGGAGCUCAUCAAGGAAUGCGGGAAUUUGGCCUGAGUAGAAGUUUUUUGACAGAUCAAUGUCCUUGAGCCCUCUUAAAUUGCUCAAGGAGGAAGGAAUGUACCCUUGAAAUAAGUUAUUCUCUAAAUGAAGGAUUUCCAAGAUUGUGCAUUUGCCGAUGUUUUCUGGAAUCUCACCAGAGAGCCUGUUAUUUGAGAGAUCAAGCUCCCUGAUAUUUAUCAAGUUACCCACUUCUGACGGUAUUGAAUCAUUCAGUAAAUUAUGUGACAAGUCAAGGAAGCUUGCAAGCGACGAAACGCUCAAAGCUUCUUUCGGAAUGCUACCGCUUAGCCUAUUAUUUGAUAGGUUUAACAACUCUAGCAUUAACAUGUUGCUUAAUAUCGGCGGAAUGGCUCCUUCAAGUUUGUUGUUGCUGAGAUAGAGCUUGUCCAUUCGUGUUAGGUUGCCCAAAGAGGAAGGAAUUUCGCCCGAAAGCGUGUUAGUUGAUAGAUCUAAGUACUGUAAUUGCCAAAGAUGACUGAUAUCUACGGGAAUGGUGCCUCGAAAAUUAUUAAUGCUCAUAUCAAGAUAAAUUAGAUUGACGAACUUCUCAAUCUCAGUAGGUAUAAUUCCUGAUAUUUGGUUGUUGGCGAGUCCCAGAGUAUUAAGAUUAGUGGAAAGAUUGAGUAGUGAUUUGGGCAUCAUGCCUUGCAGUAGAUUGUUUUUAAGAUCCAACACAUAGAGACUGGUGCAGUUAGUCAGAGCUGUAAUGAAGCUCCAAUCACUAGGCUUCCUAGCUUCGAGUCGAUUGGUGGCCAGUUCGAGCCGCAGGAGACUCUUCAAGGCACCAAGGGUCGGCGGUAUCGUGCCGUGGAAUGCAUUGAGCGAUAGCUCGAGGUGGUUGAGCUCAGAAGCAUUGGACAAGGAUGCUGGAAUUCGCCCCCUGAGCUGAUUAGAACUCAUACAAAGUAAUUGAAGGUUCGGAAGAGCAUUUCCGAUAUUGGAGGGUAGAGUUCCCUCGAGUUGGUUAUAAGCGAGUUCUAAGGCCUUCAGGGAUGAUAGAUUGUAAAGGGAUGAUGGUAUUUCCCCUGUUAAGUUGUUCAUCCUGAGAAUGAGAUAUUCGAGAGAUGAAAGUCGUCCGAGCGAGUUUGGGAUCGACCCGGAGAGAUAAUUAAUAGCACAGUUCAAGUAAGAGAGGAAUGGAAGUUCUGCAAAGUGAGGAAUUUCACCAUGAAGGCUGUUUCCUCGUAGCGAAAGCCAGUUCAAAGAGGAGAGAUUCACGAGAGUCGAUGGAAUGGUUCCUGUGAGACUAUUGUAUUGGAUUUCAAGUGUCUUCAAGGAGAGAAGGCUACCAAAGGUUGGAGGCAUGGCUCCUAACAGUUUAUUAUAAUCUAAAGAAAGAAAUAGUAGGGAGGAGAGGUUGCCAAGUGAACCUGGGAUGGACCCAGUAAAGCUAUUGAAUUGUAGAUCAAGGUAUUGAAGCUGAGCAAGAUUGCCCAAAGUAGCAGGGAUGGCUCCUGUAAGAUUAUUGUAGCUUAGAGUUAACCAUGUUAGAUGGAAUUCCCUCUAUGAGAAAGUUAUUCCUUAGAUCGAUAGCCUGAAGCUUUUGACACUGUGUUAGAUUGGAAGGGAUUGUUCCAUGUAACAUGUUUCGACGCAGGAGAAGCGCUUGAAGACCGGAAAGAUGCGAUAGAGUUGGCGGGAUCUCACCGUUGAGCUUGUUAUCUCCUAAGUUGAGUAGUUGAAGAUUAGAGCAAUUACCAAGUGAAAACGGGAUUGUUCCGUGAAGAGAAUUCACACUGAGGUUAAGAUAUCGCAGCCGGCGUAGGCUACCUAACUCUUCUGGGAUGCGCCCAUCUAGCUUGUUGUCGGACAGCUCGAUCCUCUGGAUGAAUGUGAGGUUGGCUAUGGAGGGUGAUAUGGAACCGGCUAGGCCGAGAGACUUGAGGUCAAGAGCCGUGACCCGGUCUUGAUGGCGGCGGCCACAAGAGACGCCACGCCACCUGCAGUAGUGGAAAGAGCCAUUGGUCCACGAGGAGAGCACUCCGAACGGAUUGUCAUUGACGAGGGACUUGAAGGAGAGGAGAGCAGCGCGGUCGGAUGCAGCAUGUUUUAUCCCGGCGGUUGCGGCGCACGGGGCGGUGGAGAUCAUAUGCAAUAGAUUGAUGAGAAAAAAUAGUGCAUGGAAGCCUUCCAUUCUAUGAACUAAAACAAGAGAAGCUAAAGACAGUAAUCCUACAAUAGCUCUUCGUUGGUAUUUAAUUUUGGCAACUGGACAGAUAUAUAAGAUAACAAACUAACUUCCACGCUUAGUCAAAAUAUCCUGUGGUUGUAGUAAGCUAGUAAUACCAUGGUGUGAGACUACUUAUGUACCUAGUGCUGCAAUACUUCUACAAAAUGUCACUAAUUGAUAUUGAGUUUCUCAAAAUCUAAAGGGUAAUUGGCGUACCCUUUUGCAGUCUCCUAUUGGCUUGUAAUAUGUACGAUCUCUCAAAAGGUUUAAAGUGUUGAUGUGACACGGGAGCGUGUCGCUAUCUGCCUGUUACGAUACGGCACCGUCACGUUUUCGUGCUCACACAUGAUACGCUUACGAUGGAUAUGAAUGACCUCCUAUAGACACGCUUUAAUACAGACUUACUUCAGUUUUUCUGAUUCCAAUAAACUCUUAUAACAUUAUAUUAAAAAAUUUAAUUAAAUAAUUAUGAAUAUUUGCUAUAUAGAGCUUACUAUACUCAUCAAUUAAUAUACUUGUAAACUUUUUAUAUGUAAAAUAUAAUUAUACCUGAUACAGAAUAGAAAUUUUUACAGUUAAAAAAUUUUAAAUAUAAAGAUAUCUUUAUUUCUUUCUUUUGACCAUAUUAUAGUCUUUUUUUAUAAAAUAUUAAAACUAAUUUUUAAAAUAAUUUUAAAAAUUAUUUGAAAAAAUAUUUAAAAAUUUAUUUUUUAAUUAAUUUUUUUAAAAAAUUAUUAGAUCUAUCUAAAAAAUUAAAUAAUAAAUUAUAAGACAAAUAAAUUGAAUAAAUUUAAGUAUCAAUUGAUUUAAUUAAAAUUUUAAUUUAUUAGUAUUUUUAAUCUUCUAAAGCAAAAAUAAAAUUUUAUAUUUAAUGUGCCUCAAAAUUUAUUUAUUGAGUUUGAUUUUGUUCCUCUCAUCCGCCAAAAGUUUCGCGGUGCAACAAAUUUUGAUAAAAUAAUUUGUGAAAAUAAAAUAAUUUGAUAAAAUAAAUUUUUUGACUUAUCUAACAAGUAGAUUUUUAAUUUGCAGUGUCUUUGGAGUUGUGGAGUACCUAUGAUGCUUCUUGGUACCAAAAGAAUAAAACAAAAGGGAAAAAAAGAAAAGAAAAAGGCAAAAAAAAAAAAAACAUAAAAAAAAGUGAGCAAAUAUGGCACAGUGCCGUGGCACGGUGCUACAUAUCACGUUGUCUUGCGCGAUACGCAGCACUUUGCUGCGGCACGGGGCGGGGUCCGAGACCCCCUCUGUAACUUGCCCCUUUCUUGGGGGCACGGUAUGUGCUGCCCAUGCCGUAUGGCAUGGGGCAGCACUUUAAUCCAUGCUCUCUCAAAUAGGGCAUUUUCCUGUUUAAUAAAAAAAAUCUAAUUACUUUAUAUAUUAGCUAACUAGGUUGCUAAAAGCAUCUAACCUAUUUGUAGUCCUAUAUUCGCGCACUGAAAAAAAAAAAAAAAACGAAAUAAAUAGCUAAGACCACACUACAAAAAAAUUAACAUUUAAGGGACAUUUUCUUUUUAUAUUUAACCGUGCUUAAAAUCGUCCUAAUAUAAUCUAGUGUGAUAUUCAAAAGCGUCAGUUAAAAUGUCGCCAUGUAUAUACCGACGCUUAUGCCAAGCGUUGGUAAAAUAUAUUCUAACGUUUUAAAGUACUAAGAUUUUUAGGUUUUUUGAAAUCCUAACACUUUAAAUCGUCGAAAAAUUAAAAAUAAUAAUAAAGUUUAUCAUCUAAUAAAUUUGGUUCGAUAUAAUAGAGGGUCUAUAUUACGAUGCUUGUUGAAACGUUGAUAUUUGCUAUGUUGUAAGAAUGUUUGGGGACGCUUCCCAAAGCAUCGUUGAUAAAAUAUCCUUAUAUUGAAAUUUUUUCGUAGUGCCACCUAAUUCUAGCUAUACAUUCGCGCAUUGUAAAAAAAGAACCAAGUGGGUAACUAAUUAAAAGCACCUAUUAACACCAUAUUCUUGCAAUGCAUCGCUAUCUCAAUACAACCAUCAAAUUUGUUGUGAUAAAGAAAUUUGUGGAAAUUGAUGGACGAUUAGUGGAUCCACAUUAGUAGAGGUGAUUGGAGAACUAGACGAGCAGACUAGUCCACGAAAUAGAAUGGAUUAUUGGAGGUUAAUUAUUUAGAAAAAUGCUACUUGUGUACAAGAUAUACUCUAUCCAUUUAAGGGUGGAGUGCAUUUUAUUAGUCAUAUCAAUGUGACUAGUGAUGAAGACUCCAUCUUUCGAUGGAUAAGAUGUAAAAUGUAUACCCCUUUUGGGGUGUACCACUAGGGAUGCAAAUGGAUAUGAAUAUCCGAAUUUUAUCCGAAUCCAAAUCCGAAUGGUGCGAAUUUUAUCUGAUAUAAAUGGAUAUGAAUUUGAAUAUGAAUAUCAAAAAUAAAAACCCGACGAAUAUGAAUUCGAAUAUGGAUAUUGACGGUACUCGACCCGAACCCGAACUCGAACCCGAACCUGAACCCGAACAAAUUUAAUAUGAUAUAAUAUAUAAAAAAAUUCAAGCCUUUAGAUCUGAAUCUAAAGGCCAAAAAAAAUACUUAUACUUUUAUAAUCUAAACUAAAAUACAUAUAUAUUAAUAUAAUAUAUAUAUAUAUAUAUAUAUAUAUAUAUAUAUAUAUAUAAAAUUUUGUAAUAUAAAUAAAUAAUAUAGAUUAUUAUUUUCAAAUUUUUAGCCCAACUUACCAAUUGAAGCCCAAUUUUUAUAAAGAGGCCCACCUAUACUUAAAAUUUCAACUGUUUGAUUAAAUCUACUAGCUAAUAUUCCAUCAACAUUUUAACUUCAUCUCUUCCUAACCCUAAUUCUUCCCUUUUUCACACAAGACUUUGCUUUCUCUCUGUUGUGCCAGCGACUAUGCCCGAAGCGGCGCCCCCUCUGCAGCGGGGUACCCAGGUUCGUUCUCCUCUGUUUGGCCGGCAGUUUCGUUCUUUCCUCUGUUGUCCGGCGACUCGCCUGAAGCAGCACCCCCACGUGCAGCGGCGCCCACUGGCAACGGCUAGGGUGGAAACAACGAGCUCGAAGCGAGCUUACCUCGGCUCAAAUUCGGCUUGAAAAUUAAUUUCGAGCCUAAAUUUAACUCAAGCUUGAUUGAAAUUAAUUCGAGCCGACUCGAGCGAGCAACAAGUUUCGAGUCGAGCGAGCUCGAGCCCUUAAAUGACCGCUUGAAAUUCUCAACUAUCAUACUAUCAAUAGUUUUAAUUUGUAUAGAACAUUAUAUAUAAUUUGAUACAAAAAAAAUGUUUAAUAGUUCAAUAGUAUAAAUAAUUAUAUAAAAUAUAAGUAUAUUAAAUAUAAAAAAAAUUUAUGAUUGAAAUCUAAUCUUUUCAGCGCUUGUCUUUUCUUCACCUUCAAUCUCCAUAUUAUUCAUUUUUAUUUAUGCAGUCAAAAUAAAUAAAUUAUAUAGAUAAAUAUUGAUUAAACUAUCCAAUCAUAUAUAACUAAAUAUAAAUUUUAUAUGAAUAAUAAUUUUUAUUAAAAAUCAUUCUGUAAUUUUUCUAAAGCAUACAAUUAUAGCAAGAUAGCAACGACAGACAUUAUGCUGCUACUUAGUAACUUGGAGGCUUUCGGCUUGUUCACAUAGGUGAGAGACAGAAAAGAAAAAGUAGAAAAACUAUUGAAAAUUUAAAGCUUUGUGAAAGAAAGAAAGAAAAAAAUGUAAAAAAUUAGUAAAAUUUUGCUCUUUAUUUGUUCUAUUGGUUUGUUUUUAUGACCAACAAUAUUGGCCCAAAUUUUACUAAACUCAGAUUAUUCACUCAGCUUAUAUAUAAUUAUAAAUAUAUUAUAUUUAUAUAUUUUUUAAUAUAUAUAUAUAUAUAUAUAUAAUAUAUAUAUAUAUAUAUAUAUAUAUAUAAUAUAUUAUAAAGCGUAUAGAAAUUCCGACAAUACAAAGGAAUCCAAAAAGGAAUAAAAAAAUUCCCUAUGAAUGAUUAUGAUUUUUUGUUAAAAAUAUUCAAUAAGAACGAACCGUUAUGAUCAAUCUAUUAAAUCUCUACUAAUAUUGAAAUCUAUUCCAUAUAAUGGUUAUGAUUAAUUUGUUAACAAAAUAUUUCAAAAAAGAACAGCUAUGAUCAAUAUUUAUUUAAAAAUAGCAUUCCUAUCCAUCUAUAAAUUCAAUCCUACGUUUAUAAAUUUGGUAAAAAAUUCUCCAAUAAAAAUAAAUAGUUAUGAUCUAUUUGUUAAAAAAAUAGCAUUCCUAUUAAUCUAUUUUACAUUAAAAUUAAAUUUAGUUUAAAUUAUAAAUUAAAUUUAAUAAUUUUUUAUAUCAAAUUUGAAUCAAUAAUUAAUUUUUGUUACAGUGGAUCAAAUUAAAUUUAAAUUUAAAGUAAAUGUGAAUUAAAUUUCUAUGCUUUUAUUUAAAACACAUACUUAAAUUUGAUUUAUCAAAAUCAAAAGUAUAUAAAAAUGUUUUAUGUAUUUAUAUAUAAAAAACGAACACGGUAAGAUAUUGUAAUAUUUUCUAAUAAAAUAUAACAAAUUAAUUUAUAAAUAUAGUUUUAUUGUAAAAUUUUGGAUUAUUAUAAUAUACAAUGUAUACUGAUUUAAAAUAAAUUAUAAUAAUUGUUACGUGCAUUUGCACGUACAUUCAACUAGUAUAUAAUAUAUAUAUAUAUAUAUAUAUAUAUAUAUAUAUAUAUAUAUAAGUAUUAUAUUAUAUUAUAUAUAUAUAUAUAUAGUGUAGAACUAAUGCUAUCGAAAAUAUAGAGGAUUUGAUGUUUUUGAAUUUUUGACCCUUGAUUAAGAAUUGUAUGGUUAGGAUAAUUGUGUCGCCUCCUAGGAUUAAAUAAAUAUUCCUAGAAUUGAGUAAUCCCUACAAGAUAAUAAUAGUAUUAAUUCAAAGAAAUGAUUAGUUGAUCUAAAAAUCAAAAAAUCGAAACCACCAGACUCUCUAUACUUUCGAUAGUAUAUGUAGCUCUACCAUAUAUAUAUAUAUAUAUAUAUAUAUAUAUAUUAUAUAUAUAUAUAUUAUAUAUAAUAGAGAGAGAGAGAGAGAGAGAGAGAGAAUGAGAGAGAGAGAGAGAGAGAGUGAGUGAGGCUACUAUGCUAUCGAAGCACGAAGCCUUCCGUGCUUCCAGCUCGUUUUCGGAUGUUGCGACUUUCGAAUCGUCGAUCGCGCUGCCGUUAAAUCUUGAUCUAGAGUAUUGAAGUACUAGAAAAUAAAUUUUAUGAUUUUACGAUAUUAUUGCCUAGUGAACGAAGGGGCUCAAAAUCAACGGCUGAAAAUAAAUCUUACAAAAUGUAAUAAUAUGACAUUAAAAUUUUAAAUCAAAGAUAUUGAUCUUUGUUUAUAUAGUAUAAAGAAUUUUCUAUCAAAUUUCACGUGAUUUGGAUAUUUUUACACCGUUAAACUUUCAAACGGCUCACUACGGCCAUUGAAAUUUUUGAUUUUGAGCCCAUUCGAUCACUAGGCAAAUGAUAUCGUAAAAUCAUAAAUUUAUUUUCUAGGUACUUCUAAAUACUCUAGAUCAAGUUAAACGGAGCCGAUCGACGAUUCGAAAGUCGCAACAUCGAAAACGAGCUGGAAGCACGAAGGCUCCGUGCUUCUGAUAGCAUAGUAGCCUUACUCUAUAUAUAUAUAAUAUAUAGUUGAGCUAGAAUACUAUCGUAGUAAACGAGCCAUUUUACUACCGAUUUGUUUUCGAUGAUAGAGCUCCAAAUGACGAUCGGCUCCAUUAAAUAUGAUCUAAACCAUUUAAACUACCUAGAAAUCAAAUUUCACGCACAUUUUGAUAUUGUUCUUUUAUCGCAAAAUGAACAGAAAAAUGUAUGCUGAAAAUGAAUACUCUUUUAAAAAAUGAUGAUAGGAGUCUUCUAAUCAAGAUCAAGAGUAUAGAUUCUUUUUAAAAAUGUUUAAAGAAUUUUUCUAACAAAAUUCAAUUGAUUUGAUAUCUUUACGCCGUUAAAUGAGAAAACGCCGUUAUCGACUAUUAAAAUUACAAUUUUGAAACCCUUGAUCAUUAGGCAAAUGAUGUCGAAAAGAUUUGAAAUUUGAUUUCUAAACCUUCAAGUGGUAUAGGAUCAUGUUCAACGGAGCCGUAUCGUCAUUUGGAAGUUCUAUCAUUGAAACAAAUCUGUAUAAAACGGCUUCGUUUACUACCGAUAGUAUUCUAGCUCAACUCUAUAUAUAUAUAUAUAUAUAUAUAUAUAUAUAUAUAUAAUAUAUAUAUUAUAUAUAUAUAUAUAUAUAUAUAAAUUUCCGAGCUUUUCGAGCCUAAUUCGAACGAACGAGCCGAGUAAUACUCAGCGCGCUUGAAAUAAAUUUCUAGCCUUUUUUUUUUUUUUUUUCAGCCGGUCUGUAAUAACUAGAUUUUUUUUAUUGAGUGAUUAAACCCUUUUGUUUGACGAUGUUUUUGUGUGUAACAUAAUUAUAAGUGUACUCGUCAAAUUUCAGGAGAAAACGAGAUUAAACGGAGAAGUUACGCGACCCGGAAGUCUGACUUAAGUGAAUAGUAACUCCGAUUUUCCGGAAAGGCCGUGGAGUAGAGUGGACUUUCGACGCGUAUCGAACUCCGAAUAUAGCUUCCAAUAGCUCGUUUUCAACCGCUCGAUCUAUCCUGGACCCAAUGGCACUGACAGAUUUGGAUUUGGAUGGCACGAUUUCGAGAAAAAGGGUUUAAUGGUUUUGCAUAUAUGUUGUGCUAUAUGUGGUUUUGGUGGAACCUAGCGAAGUGAAGUUUUUGUCGCAAAUCGGGAAUCUUUGCGAGCGAUAACACGAGAUGCUAAUUCAGGCCUCUGCUGCGUGCUGAUCGCGCUGGUGCGAUCCGAUCGGAAAUCCGACGGACGGAUCCUCGGGAAUCGCGAAAAGUCCGCGAAGGGGCUGAUUUGAAUAAUCGGAUUAUUCGCGAAAAGGCCCUAUAUUUUAUGCGUCGAAUUGCGAGUUUUCGAACUUAGAGGGACUAUCGUGCGUUAUGCGACUGCUGGUUGAGAGCUGGGAUUAAUUCGAUUCCUUUCGAGGGGGUUUUCCGCAAGUUUUCCGCACUUAUAUUUAUAGGUUGUCCUAGGGUUUCUUGAGCUAACCCUAACCCUAGAACCCCCCCAGCUGACCCAGCCGCCCCUGUCACCACAGCACCUCCCUGCCCUGCCCGUGCUCACGUUCCGGCCGCCGCCGAGCAGCCCCGGUCGCCGGAAACUGCCUGCAACCAGCCUUCCUCCUCUCCUCGGCCAUCUCUCUCUUUCACUUAGACCGAGGGCUUGUGGGAGGGUCUCCACCGCCUCUGGAAGCGAGCCCCGGCCUCCUCCCACCUCAGGCGUGCCUCUCCCCUAGCUCCGGCCAUCCCCCGACGUCGCCGGAGCCGCCGGAGGAAGCUGCGGCCAGCCCUGGUAAGCCCAGACCGAGCCAGGCCGAGCCGGGAUUGCGGGCGCUGCCACCCCUCUUCUUCGGCCGCGGCGCCGUCCAUCUGGCUCCGUCGACAUCCGGCGUGCAUCCCCCGCCGUCCCUGCACGCCGCCGGCCGCCGCUAAGCUUCCCCGCCGCCGCCCAGUUUUUGGUGCGGGCCGACCUUGGAGCCGCGCCGCCCCCGAGCACCGCCUUUGCCCUCCGAGGUGAGCAUCACCUUCCUCCUCGGACUCCGGCACCGGAUCAUCGCCGCCCCGACCUCCCCAGGUCGCCGCCUCGCCGCCGGCAAGCUCCAACCCGAGAGGAAGUGUGUGGGCCCGAUCUCCGCCGCCGCGCCACCGGCUGCUGCCCGCCGCCGGCCAGCUCCUCCCCCGGACUUCUUCGACCGGCUGCUCCCAUCUCCGGCCGGAGCGCCCGCCACCCGAUUGCCGGCGGCCAUCCCUAGCUCCCACUGCUCCGGUGAGUAGCCAUUUAUGGUUCCAGCACUACAGUUUUGUGUUCCGGUCACUUUUCCGGUGAUCCGAUGACUCCCUGGCACCUCGAGAGGUGAGCACGAUGAUCGUGGGCUCGUGCUGAACACGAUUCUCACCUCCAUUUAGGUUAACAGUGCCCUGGUUAGUGAGUAAUGUGCUAUCUUUGCGCUGUGCGCGCUGGUUCGCUGUUGUUCGCGUCGCUCGUGCGCGCGUAGUUGCUGCCGGAAGUGCUCCGAAAGGUGAGCACGGCCCCAGGCAUUCUGAAACCUAGCAACAAGUGUGAUGGCACCCUUCGUAGAUCCCUGGUUUGCUGGUACAACCCGUUGGAGCCAGGAAAUCACAUAAAAUAAUGUGAUUUCAUGGGCCUUAGGUUGAUCGUUUGUGUUUCGCUUCGUCGUGGCUGCUGUGCGCAGAUUAAGCUUAAGCAUCAACCUCUGACAUGUAUCGUCAGGCCCCAAGCCUUAUGUGGAAACUAUCGGUCAUUUUCGGCAGCUUUUUCGGCGAUAAUCCGCCGAUAGAACCAGCGUUCGACUCUGGAAAUUCAUCCGACGUACCUUCUGUGGUUGUUGUUGCGUCGCUAAGCCUUAUGGUUACCGUGUGUCUCUGAGGUGGCUCGAGAGGACGGAUUCUAGUGAGCGACGAUAGAAAGUUCUGGUACUGGUUCUCGAUACUCAGCGCGUCUCGGAGUUGCGUUUGAGAGAACGUGUCGACCGGGGUUAUGAUUUCAGGAUUUGUGUGAGAAUAGUCGUCGUUAUUGUGUUGUGGGUUAGAUUACUAACCCGUGGGACCUUCGUUAGGUCCGGUCGCUUCCGUCUCCGCCUAUCGCAGAGACCGUUCGGCUGUCAUACAGGUGGGUACUUCGAAUCCGAAGUCCCGGCUACAGCGUGCACGUUUCGGUGAGUCUUGAUUAUUCUUUACCCUAUGCUUUGUCAUCGUCUAUUCAUAUUGUUUACUCGUUACAUAUUCGAGCCUGACCAUACUGUCUUUAUUUAUAUGCCCGUUGUCCUCAUCGUUAUAUUCUGUUAGGGGUAGAGUAGAUGGCUAUUAGUAUAUCACUAUUAAUUGACUGAUUGUCGUCUUCCUGUUGCGAUCGGUGUACCUAUUUGGUAGAUUCAUUAUUUUAAACCCAUACUUUGACCUUGUUGGUCGGUUCACUUGUGUACUUGAUGACCUAACGGUCGGGCGUGUCGGCUGCAGUUGCCGACGGUUGGCUAUUGAGCCAUAUCCGCAUCGAUCGUACCACUCGUUCGCUAUUUUCAGAAACCAGGGUCUGAAUCCACGCCCAGAGGGUUCUUUUUUCGGCCGAAAAAGUGGUUGGGUUUGCCCACCCGUGAGCUCAGAGGUUACGACUGGGUAUAUGCAGGUUGAGUGAUUGUGGCAUUAGCCUGAGGUCUCCGGACCAACAAGGCAGGUUUAGAUUGGGUAUCCUUGGACUAUCCACCAGUUGAUGCAUACAUACAGUAGCAGUAGUUCAUUACUUGUACAUCAGUUCCUUACUUGUACUUUCUGUUCUUAUAUCAUAGUAGCUACUGUAGUUGUUUACCUUUACUGUUGUCUAGCCUCCUUUGCUGGUGCGUACCCUCGCCCUCGUCGGCUUGCGGUACCCACUGGGAGGGGAGACAUGUUUACAUGUUCUCACCCCCCGCCCCCAUUACAGGUGACGUCGCAGGUCCGAGUGGGACGGCAGGUGAGGAGCGAGUCUAGCGCGCGUUAGAGCUCCGUCCCGUUUGGUUAUCUCUUUUUCCUUUGCUUGAAUAAAUAGUAAACUUUUAUUACGGUUCAGUUUCAUUCCGUACUUGAGAAAUUGGUUUUUCGCUGGCUUUACGUAUUGUGAUAAAAAGAGAUUUAUGGACUUUUCAAAGUAAAAUGGUUUUCUACCUCUCGUGGUAGCGCUUGUUUUUUUAAAAGAAAAGAGUUUUCAUAUUCGAUACAGUUUUCAAUGGUUUUUCUACCCCUCGUGGUAGUGUUUUAAAAGAUAAAGGUUUUCGUGUGGGAAACAGUUUUAAAAGGAGCUUUUAAUGGAUUUCCGAGACUUAGUAUUUCAAAACUUAUUUUCGGGAAGGAAACGUCUCAAAUGAUAGAUUUGGAUUUAUGUUUAAAAACUAUGAAUACCGUCGUGUUGUGAAUGGUGAAUGUAUGGACGUCUGUAUGUGCGGAUGAGGUUGUAUGUUCAUAUGGUUGUGGUUGUAUUCUGGAUGUACUCUCGUUAUAUAAUUGUACUUGUGCGACGCCGUGCAAAUACAGGGGAGACUCUGUCCGUGUGAACAGUGGAUUCCCUGUAUUUGUGGCGGAUCUGACAUACCCUGGGAUCAGGUGUUUCAAAAAAAAAAAAAAUUUCAGUCGUUUCCGCUGUUUUUCCAAACAAAAAGGGACCCCGGGGCGUGACAUCGGCUCAUUUAAUUUUGAGUCGAGCUCGAGCGAGCCAAAUAUCGAGUCGAACGCGAGUCGAACGCGAGCCGGCUCGCUCAUUUGCCAACCCUAGCAACGGCGCACGCAGGUUCGUUCUUCGUCUUCCAGUAGGUUCAACGUCGCCAUUCGCACACGCCCGGCAGCGGCUUUCAGCAGAUUCGUUCUUCGUCUUCCAUUGAUCUUCAUCUUUUUUUCCCUCUUUUUCUUAUGAUUUUUUUGAGCAAAAUGUGAGAAUUGUUCGUAUAGUAUUUUUAACUUUAGUCUCAGGUUAAUGUGAGGAUUGUUCGCAAAAUAUGAGGGUUUUCGGGUUUUUGGUUGGGUUCGGAUUUUUGGUCGGGUUCGGGUUUUCAGGUUCGGGUUCGGGUUUCGGGUUUUUGCUCGGGUUCGGGUUUGGAUGUGGAUUUUUAAAAUCCAUCGGGUUCGUGUUCGGGUUCGGGUUUCGGAUUUGGUAGUCGGGUUUGGGUUCGGGUUUUUAUAAAUCCGCCCCGAAUCCGACCCGUUGACAUCCCUAUGUACCACUAACAUUACUCAUUUAGUUAUAGAUAGAAGUAUAUGAAGACCCCUUCAACUAUAGGCUGUUCUGAAAUACCCCUCUAAGUUUUUUAAAGGGGGAAUUUCCUCACUGCAAACAACUAUAGGCUGUUUUUGACACAUGGACGCAUUAAAAUUGGAAGGGAUAUAUGCAUAAAGAACUCUUAAACUUUAAAGUAUUGUCAAAUGACACUCUAAUUUUUAAUCUAGCAACUAGAUCUUCUAAAAUAGUCAAAUAGUUUAAUUGGUCAAUUUUCUCAAGAGAAGUUACUAAUUAAAAACCCAUUUUGUUGCAGAUAUGGUCUUGUAAAGUCUCAAAAACACAAACAAAAAAAAAAAAAAAAAUUUCUUUCUUCGUGAUAAAACUAAGAUAUACUGUAAUACACUGGACUUUCGCAAAUUGCGGAGUUCGAGUAUGUGGAAUGGUGUGUGGAUCACUCCUACUUGUUCUAAAAGGUUAGAACAAGUUUUUGGAUAAGUUAGAGGAUGUUUGGAAUGCUAAAAAAUGAGAAUGUGCAUUGAACUGGCGAAAAUCAGCCUUUUCUGCUUGCUGUACCGGUACAGCCGCAAUGGUGUACCGGUACACAGUGGCAUUUCAUGGCAGCAGGGCUAUUUUGGUCUUUUCACAUCUUGAUCCCUAUCUAUAACCCCCAGCACGACUCCAGGAGCACUGUGGAAGGGUCUGAGGUCCAGAGAAGUGUUCUACCAUCUCUCUCUCUUUCUCUCUCUAGGAUUUUUCUCUCUCUACAAAGAAAUCGGCGAUUUCGCUCGUUUUCGUCGCCUUGCUCGUUCUUCGCUGGUUGCGGGUGUCGCUGAGCCUUCGUAGACAUGUGAGAGAGUGUUUUGGAAGGAUUUUCGCAGCUCUGAACCAGUGAGGUGCUGGUUGGAAGCUUGAGCAGGUAUUCGACUCGAUUUUUCCGUUAUCGGCGUUCUAUUAGUGGAUUUGAGUUUUGAUUUCGGGAUUGUUGCUUCUACUGCUUUAAUCUGAGAUUUCAGCAAUUAAAUAUGAGUUAAUUAGCUGUGAAUAAACCUCCUUAGACCAGGGAUAAGCUACUUUGCAGCCUAGUAGCGAUGUUUCGCUAUUUAUAAAGCUAUUUCGGACUAUACACGAGUUAUGCGAUCAAAUUGAUGCAGUUUGGACUUGUUCCUUCGCAGCAGGUUCUCGAACCAUUUGGAGCUUAUUUGGUGACCUGGGAGGCUGGUUUAGAAGGUGUUCUAACCUGAGGUAAGCAGGAAUUUCAGUUAGAAAACUGAAUUUGCAAGAUUCCGACUAUAUUGGCUACUAUAUGAUGAUAUUGAUGCCGUCUCGAUGUUGUUCGCAGCGAGAGUGCGAACGAGCCUUCGAUCGUCGUUAGCUGACUUGUGAGAGCUCUUGGAGACUUAUCUUGAGGUAUUACACUAGCCCAAAACAGGGAUUUAAGGGAUUACUUUGUACUAAGUGCAAUUUAGGCCGAAAUCGGACAUUUCGGUUGUCAUUUUGACACGGUUUUGUUACCUUGUUUUCAGCAGGAGUGGGGCUUCGUGGGGCUGAUUUUGGGACCCUUGUAAACUUAUUUGGAACCUAGUACGAGGUGGGUUUGACCUAACCAGAGCAAGUGAAGCUCCCCUAUGUUCUAUAUGUAUCGAAUUGACAUAGUUGUGCGAUAUUGUCACUAUAUGGUUCUUUGGAACUUCUUUGCCAUAACAUUGACUAGAAUCUCUAUGAAGUAGAGAGAAUUUAUGCAUAACAGUAUUUAUGCUUAUGUUUAUGUUUAUCUUUAGUUCAGUUGAAUAACCAAUGGACAUGAUAAUUAUGUUUUUGUAAAGUAGAAAACAAUGAUAUUGACUCUAAAGUAGAGAACCGUGACAUGCUUUGGGACUAUGUUGGUAGUGCCAUGAUAGUGAAAAGAUUCUAAUGCCUGUAAAUUAGCAUUACUCUUACAUGCUUACUAAACUAGUGGAUUCUAGUUAUUGUUCAUAUUUGUUAUAUUGAAAUUCCGAUCGAGGAUCGAGACCGUGAACAUUGCAAAUGAAAUUGUAAUAAUUGAGACAUGUUGGACUGUGGACCUUGCUUGCUUGCCAUUGUGCUCAUUCGCACACGCUUGUGAGGGUAGCUCCCUACAAGCCGGCACUCCGGAGUUGGCCUAUGCGACAGUUGCUCGCCCGUGCGGGAGUGGGUGCCGAAGUGGAUUGCCGUGGGGAGUGUAUACUACCACGGGGCCAUUAGGCGCGGCGCAAGCUGGACUACCUUGGGUAGGUCCCUGUGAAUGAAAGGGAAGUACUAAAUGAAAAAGGACAGUAAUGAAUGUUUAUUACUUAAAGUGUACAGUAGUCACUUUUAUAUUCGUGCUUAUGCUCAUGUCUAUGUUCAUGAUUACAGAAAUUGCUAUAUCUCUUUGAUGCAAAUGAUUCAUUACUGUAGAAAGCUAUUACAUGUUGAUUACAUGCUUAUUACUUAUUAGCAUCAUGCUUAUAAAUCAUGCAAUUAUUGUUAUUGCUUUCAUUUAGUACAUCUUGAGCCUAGCGGUGUAAUUCGCCGAGGCUGGCGGCUUACCCACUGGGAACUAUUGUUAAUAGUUCUCACGCCCUUUUGGUGGUUGUUUUUACAGAGCCUGUUACAGGAGAGGCUAGGGAUCGUGGCAAGGGAGUCGCGCCUAGCUAGGGACUACUAGGAGCGUGCUAGUCGAUCACCUUGCUACUCGGGCUACGGCCGAGGGUGAUGUCCAUAUAUAUAUAGAGACCACCAUUGUAUCUAUUCUUUUUGUACACCCGUGAUGUAUAUUUACUUUCGGGGUUGAGAUUAUAGUAGUGUUACUUCUCCUUUUUGCUGAGAUCUUGGAUUGUAUACUCUUUGUAUAUUGACUCGGAUUGGAUACUCGU
rnacentral:lncRNA from 1 species